UUUUUUUUUUUUUUUUUUUUGGCAAAACGAGAUUAUGAGAAUUGAAGAGCUAAAUAUAUUCACUUUGAGCCAUUGAGGAUCAAUCACAAAGCGUUUGGUAGUGGAAUGGAGAAAGUGAGGCAACCUGAGAGUUAAUAAUAGACGCUUGAAAUAAGUAAGGAUGGAUGGGAUCGUUGCACAUUUUUCAAGACCAAAAGAUGAACAGGAUAAGAGCAUUUUAUAGACGCCUUUGAUAUUUUGUCAUGUAGCUAGUAUUGACGCUUUGAUAUUACUUACAAUCAUCAAGGGGAUUAUAUGAAGUGAAACGCCAACACGCAUAGGGUUUUAAGGUAUUUUACCCUUAAAUUUUGGUUUUAUAUCACGUUAAACUACUUUUAUUCAGAAUUACUAAUUAGGUAGGAGUGAAGUAUCUCCAUCUCCAACUCUCUCAUAUUCUAUUGCAAGGUAUGCGUAUUUUUUCUCGUACAAUUUCUUGAACAUUUGAAUUUAGGUUUGUUUGCACACUUCAUUUUUUUUGCGAAAAUUUAUUUUUCUUGUAAUAUAAAUAUAUUUUUUAAUUAUUUUUUUAUAUUUCAACCAUCUUUAACAUACAUAUGUUUGGAUAGCAAAUUUUUCCAAAACAAUUUUUCGCUUGCAUCAUAAACACAUUUCCCAAUCCAUAUUUUUAUAUUUCCAAUUACUUUUUUAUCUCACAUACAUCACAUCAUAAAAAAUACUACAGUAAUUAUUUUAAAUAAUUAUUUGGAAUAAUUCUCUAUCCAAACAAUUAAUUCUCUAUCCACUUUUUCUAACCACUUUUUUUUGGAUAAAAAUUUCAAAUAAUCUUCUAUUCAAAGACACUUAAUCCUCAAAAUUUAGUGUACAAAUUGAUCCAUGAAGUUAAAAAAAAGCUUUUUAAAAUUUUUCUAAAUGCUCUAAUACACAAAAGUUUUUUCACAAUUUUUUUAAAAAAUACACCUUCCAAAUUACCCCAAAUUUUGGGUCAAGUUUGCGUCUCAUCCAACACAAGAUUCGUGUGCGGAAAACUGGAAAGUAAACAACGUACGUCUUAGAAAAUCAAUCACGAGAUUCGCAUGUAUAAAAAGUAAACAAGGCAGGUUUUGGAAAAUUGAUCAAAAGAUGCAUUUGGUGGUGGGUUACAGCAGGACAACUUCUCAUUAAUAGCAACAAAAUUACUGGAGAGUGAAAGUGGAUGCUGAAUUAGUGUACCUGUGUCUACUGUCUCCUAUGUAAAACCGCACGUUUGAGAUAAUCAACAGUAUUGUUGCCAUGUUUGGAUUGUCAUUUUCUGUCAGAAAAUUGCAUCGUUUUUCAUGAUUACAUUUUUCUAUUAUUUUUUUCUCACAUACAUCAAAUCGCUACAGUAACUUUUGCAUGAAAAAUCGUGAAAAAUACAAUUCAAACAGGGUUGUGCAAUGCAUUUUCUGAUGUGCAUAGCAGGAGAUGGAGAGAAUUCAAGGCUAUUUAUUCAUUAUAGUAAUUUUUAUUAAUUUAAAUGGUGUUUGGAUUAACAUUUUUUAUAUUUUUCGUGAAUAUAAAUUUUAAUUAUCUAUUUAAUUCAAAUAUAUCAAAUCGAUUUUAUAGUAAAUUUUUCUAUAAAAUCUCUAAAAAAAAAAUAGCAUGGCCUAAAAAAAAUGUAAUAUUAGCAUUGAACAUGUGUCGUGUUCGGUGCCACGGCCUUUUCCUUUUUCCUUUUCUUACCGGAGUAAGAAAUUGUUUAAUUAAAUCUAAUCCUAAAGCUAACUACCUAAUGAUUAAUGUCAUGUUGUGGGCCUGGCUUUACGGGUCAAAGAUUGGAAUCCACUUAAGAAAUCACGUGAGCUAUGACGACUACACUUCGGCACACAACUCGAGGAAUGGGCGAUGUUGACAGAUGCAGUUUGUCUUUGUCCUCCCCCGUCUCUCUCUCUCUCUCUCUCCAUACUUUUUAUUUUAUUACUUUUCCGCAGCGGCAGUACUAGUGCGGGCCUGCCCGCGGCCACACACGCUCCUCAGAGAGGACCACAAAAACGAUACUAUAACAGACGGGACAAGAUUCCGCCUUCGUCUGAGUGCUGACAAACAGCCUUUUUCACAUAAAUCUUUUCUGAUUCUGUGAUAGUGAUUAUUAAUUAACGAGCAAGCAGACUACAGUAGAUGACGACGGCCAAAGCAAAAACUCGAUGCGACGGUUCCUUCCUUCUCCGCUUGGUUUCUUCCUUCUCUGCUUGGUUUGGAAGCUUUUACUACUACAUUUAUUUAUUGAAGUCCUCCCAAAGAGCAAUCCACUUCGUUGACGUUAGUUCUGACAUUGGCAGGAAUCGAAGUUUAGACAGGUCUACAUCUGCUGGCAAAGUACACCUGUUUUUUCUCUCGUCUUUUUCCGUUUGAAGGAUGUAACUACAGGUUCUAGGUGUUAAGAAGCAUUUCUGAAGAUGUUCGUUUUCUUUAAGAAAAAUGAAAAUUAUAAUUAAACUUCCAUUUUAUCUUCUCUCUAUUUUCCGAAAUAGGUUCUUUGUAAGUAGCACUUUUUUAUUAUAAACUAGAAAACCAUGCAUGCAAAUUACGGCUUUCAUUCGGCGCCGCCAUUUUAUCAUGAUACACUCAACAGACUCAUCACACAAGUCAAGCGGCCAAAUAAGCAUCUAAUUGUACAUACUUUUUUUUACACCCAAUAUUCGUUUAGUUCACACAUAAAGGCUCUACUAAUAACAUAUUUUUUCUCUAUUAUGUUUAUUGUGUCAUCAUCAUUCUUCUAUACAAGUUAUCUAAUGACAAAAAGGCUCUUGACUUUUUUUUGACAAUGUAAAUUAGAUAAAAGUACCUUUAUUCUUCAUUACAUUACAUUGCAGUCACUCUCGUUUUAUCCACUUAUAAUUAAAGUGAAAUAUAAAAUAAAUAUGAUAUUUUGCAUCGACAGGCAAAUCAAAAGGAUAGCCAAUAACAAUUUCUUACUCUAUCCAUCACACUUUGACAGUGUUGAUUUUUAUUUUUUUUUUACACAGUUAAAGAAAAAUUAGUUGACUUUAUUUGCAAGAGCAAAUCUAGCUUAUUAUUUUUCUAAAAUAUCCUUACAUUAACACUAAUUAUUUCAAACACUAAAAUUUAUAAUAUGACUAAUCACUACACCUUUAUAUUAAUUAUAACAAUAACCCUGAUGGAAAGUUGUACCAUUCAAGGUGUUAAUCAAAUCAAUAAUUGAAUAAGAUAGAUUAUAUUCACUAAUAAUAAAUUACUUAAAUAAAGACAUUUUAGAGAAGUUAAAAGUUAACUAUACUUUUCAAUUAAAAAGUAGCCUAUAAUUGGGACGAUGGAGUAAUCUAAUUCCGGAUCUUCUCUUCUACUUUCGAGAAAAAUAAAAUAAAAUAACUACUGAGCAUGCCCUCUUAAAAUCAAUGAUAGCCAUUGAUCCUUAGCAUCCAAGGAUAUGUUUGGAUUGUAUUUUUCUGGAUUUUUUGUUAAAAAAUUACUGUAACAAUUUGAUAAAUGUGAGAUAAAAAAGAUGAUUAAAAAAUAUGUUUGCGAAAAACAUAAUAAUUUUUUCUUUUUUUUUUUGGAAAUCUACAGUCCAAGCAAAAUAUAAAAUAAUGAUCGGUCAACUUUGAGUUCUUUCCUAUUUAAAGACAUCUAGAGAUUGGCAAUAGAAAUUGUCCCUACGAAGUUUCUCGGACUUGGGAUACCAACCAUGCAGAUCGAGAUGGUUGUAGCUAAUAAAUGCAAGAGCUACAAGAAGAUCAUCGAUGAUUAAAAGCCUAUUGUUGGAAAUAACGAAGAAGUCCUAUUUAAAGACAUCUAGAGAUUGGCAAUAGAAUAAAUGCAAUAAAUGCAAGAACACAUCUAGAGAUUGGCAAUCGAAUAAAUGCAAUAAAUGCAAGAGCUAUAAGAAGAUCAUCGAAUGAUUAAAAGCCUAUUGUUGGUGAUGCGACCGCCAAGAACGCAGUCCAAGCUGAGCCGCAGCGAUCCGAGCUGGGGGGACCUGGAUGCGAAGGAAAGAACGAUCUGCGCGGGUUCACCUGAGAAGGGAGAAUACCAGAGGGACUCCAGUCCCCGGAAUAACUCUGACGGUCAAGUCAGCCGUGUUUAUGAGUAAGACAGCAGUAGAGGGUACUGUGAAUGGCAUACCUUCAGUCAUCGGGUAAUGACGUAUUUAUAGGCUUGACCAAGUGGUGGUUUCCAUGUAGGAGUUGGAGUCCCAUUAGGGUUCGGAGUCCUUCUAGGAUUUCGUAUGACAACCCCUAAAGAUUCGGAGGCGGCAGCCCAUCAGGCCCACUUCAUGGAGAAGGAGAGGCGGCGGCCACGACCGAGCUGACCUCCCUCCAUUCCGAGCUGUUUCGCCCGAGCCGCCGUAUCACAGCAUCCGAGCUGACACGUGGCUACUGGGAAAUUUGCCCCACUACAGUUGGAAAUAACGAAGAAGUAAAAUUUUAGAAUAUUGGUUGAUCAGAGUUUCUAUUAAAUAACCAAUUAAGAAAAACCUUUGCCUAAUACCAAAAUGACGAUGACCAUUGCUUCCACAGCAUUUGAUAUCUAGAGCAAAUUGCACUUGUAGUAGUGGCGGUGACAAUGGUAUUGCCGUUGAUUCAUAUUCCACAAAACCGUUAUUGAUACACGAUUAACGUAGUAGAAUACUUUGUCCUCCAAUUUUUAACUACUGAUUUUUUUUUUGGUUGUCUAGCUGACUUCUCUGUCGGUGGCGGCUGUUUUGGUAUUUAAAGCCUAAGCAGGGCAAUAUUCAUCCUCUCCGCUCUCUGGUACAGCGAUUCUAGAAGCCCGGGAACCACCGGUGUCAUUCAAAUCGUCGAGCAAAAAUGAGUCCGGAGCUAUGUCCUGAAGGGGCCUAAAUCCCCGGAUACUUUUACACUAGAGGGAGAGAAGGAGAGGAAACUAAGUGAGAGGCUUCUCCAGAAUCCUAGGAUCAAUAUAGGUAUCUUUAUUUUAUUCUUAUCACGUGCCAUCUCCUCGCUGUAGGUGCUUGCAUGAUGAUUUGGUCUUGAAUUGGCCCGUUUGUCAAAUAAGUUUUUUGAGUGUUUGUCUAAAAUUUUACUGUAACUUACUCUAGAAAUUUUUUAAAAAAAUAUUGAAUUGUGUUUUUUUUAAAAAUAUUUUAAAGUAAAUAGUUUAAAAAUUUUGAAAAGUUUUUUGAGGUUAAAAGUUUUCAAAAAGUUUAUUACAAAUAAAUUUGGCAAAAAACUUAGCUGGCAAACAAGGUCUUGGUUCGCACGUUAAUUUGGUCACUUUGAGCCUGCGGUACAAGACAGAGUUGGCCUCUUCUCCUAUUCCAGAGUACCACCCUCAAACAUCCUUAAGUUUUUAUUUUUUUGAAAUUUGAUUUUUGCUACUGAGUAGUGAGUGGGAGUGCUUUUUACCUGCUAUUUCUUGUUUCAGCCGGCGACGUUUCCUGUGUAAGUCUGGACACCUGGAAACUAAUCCUUGCGCUUUUUGUUGUUCCUUCUCAUCUCGUCUGCUAAAAAUUUUGGUCCUUUUUUUCGUUUUUGUGAAGUCAUUUCUGAAGAUGGCACUAACAAAGUCGUAUAAUGAUUGACAUUGUUUAGGUUAGAUGUUUUGAGGUCUGAAGGCUGCUGUUUAUAAUCUCAAUUCUGAUCAUGUUUGGUUUGAGAAAUGUUUAGCUGGAUCACUCCUUUCUAACUUCUUCUUUUUGAGUGUUUUCCGUUUCUUUUCCUUCUGGGUCUGCCCAAAAUGCUUUCAAAGUACUGCGCAUCAUCCCAGAUUCUAAAAUGGAAUUAGUAAUUGCAGUACCGAAACUGCAGCCUCCUUUACUUUGAAAAGAGGAGGAGGAGGGGGGGGGGCGGGCGGCCAAUUUUGAUUUCAUUUCUGCCUUUUGUAAUAAUUUAUAAUAAUAACCUUUUGGAUUCUUAUUCUUUUAGCUGAGUUCUCCAAGUAUUGUUUUAACAUGCUCAUCUUGUUUCCUUCUCCAGGAGAAUGAAAGGAUGAAUUCUUUGUGAGAUAAAAUCAUUGUAUGGCUAUGCUGUAUGUCGGUUUGGCAGAGGUCAUAGCAAAGAUGUCUUCACCUAUUUGGAUCACAUCGCUUUCUUGUUCCGCUUCUGUGGUACAAUCCUCAGAGGAUUCCACAGUUUCAGCCUUUGUUCAAUGGCUAAGGUUCCUUUUCCUGUCUCCCUGUCCUCAGAGAGCUCUGUCAUCUUCCAUUGCCAUUCUGCUGUGGAUAGCUUUCCUUGUUUUUGCAAUACAAAAACUAUGGUCUAGAUUUAGUACCAAACAUGAAUUGAGUUCUAACCUCAGCAAGCCUCUCAUUGAGAGCAGCACACCGCCUGUUAGAGCUAACCUUUGGUAUAAGUUGACUCUGAUUGCGACCGUUGUUUUAGCCUUAUCUUCCUUAAUUUUGUGCAUUCUGGCAUUCAAUGGAGGUAACCAGGGCUCAUUGAGGGUUGUCGAUGGACUAUUUUGGUUGCUUCAGGCAUUAACCCAUGUAGUGAUCACAGUACUAAUUCUCCAUGAGAAGAGGUUCAAAGCUGUUACUCAUCCAUUAUCUCUUCGGGUUUACUGGAUUGCAAGCUUCAUUAUCCAAGUUUUGUUCGUCACUUCGGCGCUUAUCCGCAUAAUAUCUGCCCGUGAAACUGAUUCAGUCUUGAGAGUAGAUGACAUUGUUUCAAUAACUGCAUUUCCUUUGUUGAUUAUUCUUCUGAUUGUUGCCCUUAAGGGGUCUACCGGUAUCCUAGUAAUUAGAUGUUCUGAAUCAAUAAUAAAUGGAGAGACCACAUUAUAUGAACCACUUCAGGAUAAAUCCUCCAAUGUGAGUGGGUUUGCUACAGCAUCCAUUGUAUCAAAAGCUUUUUGGCUCUGGGUUAAUUCUCUUUUGGUAAGAGGCUAUAAAUCCCCUCUAAAGCUUGAUGAUGUCCCAAUUCUCUCACCACAGCAUAGAGCUGAGCGCAUGUCAGAGCUGUUUCAACAGAAGUGGCCUAAACCUGAAGAAAAAUCAAAGCACCCUGUGAGAACUACAUUGUUUCGCUGCUUCUGGAAGGAAGUUACCUUCAUUGCCAUCCUUGCCAUUGUGAGGCUUUGCGUCAUGUAUGUGGGGCCUACACUGAUCGAUCGGUUUGUUGAUUAUACAUCUGGGAAGAGGACCUCAAUUUAUGAAGGAUACUACCUUGUAGUUGUUCUCUUGAUAUCCAAGUUUGUGGAAGUUCUGAGCUCACACCAGUUCAAUUUUAACUCCCAGAAACUUGGGAUGAUGAUACGCUCCACACUCAUUACUUCAUUGUACAAAAAGGGUUUGAGACUUUCAUGCUCAGCAAGACAAGCUCAUGGUGUUGGACAGAUUGUAAACUACAUGGCCGUGGAUGCGCAACAGCUUUCUGAUAUGAUGAUACAACUGCAUGCCUUAUGGUUGAUGCCAUUGCAAGUUACCGUUGCCUUAAGUAUCCUCUAUACUUACCUAGGCAUUUCGACCAUUGUAGCGUUACUUGGACUUGUAUCCAUUAUGGUGUUUGUGGCGUUUGGGACUGGAAGGAAUAACCGGUUCCAGUUCAAUAUCAUGAAAGAUAGGGACUCCAGAAUGAAAGCAACAAAUGAGAUGCUUAACUACAUGAGGGUAAUCAAAUUUCAGGCUUGGGAAGAACAUUUCAACAAAAGAAUUCAAUCUUUCCGUGAAUCAGAGUUUGCAUGGCUAACCAAAUUCUUGUACUCGUUUUGUGCAAAUAUUAUUGUGCUCUGGAGCACACCAGUAUUUAUAGCUACAUUGACAUUUGGAAGUGCGAUCCUGCUGGGGGUUCCACUUGAUGCAGGAACAGUCUUCACUGCUAUCUCACUCUUUAAAAUGUUGCAAGAACCUAUUAGGACCUUCCCACAGUCUAUGAUUUCACUCUCACAGGCAAUGAUAUCACUGGAUAGGUUGGAUAGGUACAUGAUGAGUAAGGAACUGAUGGAUGAUUCAGUGGAGAGGGUGGAAGGUUGUGGAAGUGAGAUUGCUGUGGAGGUGGAAGAUGGGGCUUUUAAUUGGGAUGAAGAAAGCAGGGAAGAAGUUGUAAAGGAUUUGAAUUUUAUGAUCAGAAAAGGCGAGCUUGCAGCGAUUGUUGGGACUGUAGGAUCAGGGAAGUCUUCACUUCUGGCAUCAAUUCUUGGCGAGAUGGAUAAAAUAUCAGGAAAGGUACAUAUGAAAUAUUUUUCAGGGCCUUAUCCCUAUAUCAAAUUGAUUACUUCACAUUUGUCACUGGAAAAGUACUCUUUUUUUUUUAGUGUGCCUUGUGUAUUUAUUUCUGUUCAUUGUAUGGUUCGUAAUCUGAUUGUUGCCUUGCACGUAAUUUGUCCAAGUAAUAGACUAUUCAGGGAUUUCACACAUCCUCUUCUUCUCCGCGUCACAGAUUCUCAUUUUGCUGAUACGAUUUAAAUGUCGUAUUGUGUUAUUCAGCAGACAGCAUGAGCACAAAGUGUUUAUCUUUUGGUAUACAUGAGCACAGUGAUUUGUUUUCUCUGGAUGUCUUGCUUGUGCAUCAGAGCUUGGUAACUGGAAGAUUUUGCCUUUUGCUACUUGUGGCCGACAGACCUAAGUUUGCCCAGUUGUUGGCUCAAGUAAUUGGAAACAUUAUGUCUAUUAUUGAAAAUCACAUAUAUUGUAAUUUUUCUCUGAAAAAUUGGUUCAAUUUCAACUUCCAAAGAUAUGGGUCCAAAUGAUUCAACCAUCAAACUCUAACCAGAUUACCUCUGAAACAUCGACCAAAUCUUCACAUAAACUUCUUGGGUUGGGGUGCGUAUUUGUCCUCGUUAUUCGACUCUUUGGGGGUUAUGAUUUACAUAUUGAAUGAUGGGCUAUUUGUCAUUUUCCAAACCCUAAAGUUCUUAUCCUUGGGAACACCUUUUAGUAUCAUUGGUGAACUACUUCUUAAUAGGGGCAGCCCAUUAUAUUCUUCUUUGUUGGCCACAAGUUGGUUGUGAGGAAAAGCUUCCUGAGUGUCAUGCAGGAAAGCUUCUUAUUUUAUAAUGCUAACACAUUUCAUUACAAGCUUACCAACUAUUUGUUGCUGCAGCUCAGGGUUUGUGGUACCACAGCUUUUGUUGCACAAACCUCAUGGAUUCAGAAUGGGACAAUUCAAGAAAAUAUCCUUUUUGGUCUGUCAAUGAACCAAGAGAGAUAUAAGGAAGUUCUUAGGGUUUGUUGUUUGGAGAAGGACUUGGAUAUGAUGGAGUUUGGAGAUCAGACUGAAAUUGGAGAGCGUGGCAUCAAUCUAAGUGGUGGGCAAAAGCAGCGAAUUCAACUUGCCAGGGCUGUUUACCAAGAUUGUGAUAUCUAUCUACUUGAUGAUGUGUUUAGUGCAGUUGAUGCUCAAACUGGUUCUGAAAUAUUCAAGGUGAUAAGAGUUUUGAAAUGAUUUUCAAAAUGGUUGUGAUAUCUAUAUCUUGAAAGUAUUUAAUGCUGUUUUAAGAUGUCCUAUUUCUCCAAUUAUUUGCCAAAUUAGAUGUGACCUGAUGUUUGUAGUAGCUACAGUCACUGACAUAAUUUUCUCAGUUUGGUCCUCUUCUUCUCCAUUUUCUUGUUAUUACUGUUAAAUGAGAACCAGAACAGAAGCCUGCUACUUGCGAAUGCCCAUUUGUUAAUGAUGUAUGAUGCUUUUGUUGACAUUUUAUGUUGAUCCCUUGGCUUCAUUCCUUGUAGGCUCCAAUUAACAUGAUUAUUAAGCUUUGAGUGACAUGCUUGUUAGUUGAUACAUAUUGUUCUGCAUUGACAUUGUGAUUCGUCUUUUUAGUUUCAAUUGAAGUUGUGAUAUUCCAGUAGCCCUAGUUGUUAGUUUAUCAGUUAUUAAAUGCUGUUUAACACUUUCCAGUCUCUCUUGCAGGAAUGUGUUAGAGGAACUCUUAGAGAGAAGACCAUUUUGCUUGUUACACACCAAGUUGACUUCUUACACAAUGUUGAUCUGAUCCUAGUAUGUCCUAUGCUCAUUUAUCCUCCUCCUUUCCUAGGUUGUACAUGUGUAUAUGUGGAUUCUGGCAUCAUAGACUUGACCUCUUAAUAUUGAAACCAGGUUAUGCGAGAUGGGAUGAUUGUUGAAUCCGGAAAUUACAAUGAUCUACUUGAAUCUGGGAAGGAUUUCAAAUCUUUAGUGGCUGCGCAUGAGUCAUCUAUGGAACUUGUUGAGGCAGAAAGCUCCAAGCGCAGGAAAACUUCAGUUGGUCAACCAACAUCUCCUCAAGCAUCUUUUAGUCCUAGACAAGAAAACGAUGACAUGAAAUCUCAAGAACAGACCCAAUCUGAUCGGGGAACUUCUAAACUUAUCAAGGAAGAGGAGAGAGAAACUGGGAAAGUCAGCUUACAUGUUUAUAAACUAUACUGCACUGAAUCUUUAGGGUGGUGGGGUGUGAUUGCGGUGUUGCUGAUUUCUGUGUUGUGGCAAGGGUCAUUAAUGGCGGGUGACUACUGGUUGGCUUAUGAAACAUCAGGAAAGCGUGCUAUGUCAUUCAAUCCUUCUGUUUUUAUUGGGAUAUAUGGUAUUAUAGUAGCUGGUUCCUUUGUGCUGAUAUUGAUUAGAAUUUUUUUACUUACAUUCAUGGGGCUUAAGACGUCCCAAAUAUUCUUCAAAGGAAUUCUUCACAGCAUAUUGCAUGCUCCAAUGUCAUUUUUUGAUACUACACCUUCUGGAAGAAUUUUAAGCCGGGUAACGUUUUCUACACUUUCGGAUUGGGUUGUCCAUUUUGGUGCCAAGCUGGAAAAAAUAAAAUCAUGUCCAUAUGUACAUUUAGCUACAUUAGAUUACAUGGGGAAAAAACUAGAUUAUAUAAAAGAAAUGUUCAAAGUAACUGAACAUGUUUCAAUUACUGGAUUCAUUGAUAUGUUGUGUCAUAAAAUUUUGCAGGCGUCAAAUGAUCAGACUAAUAUUGAUGUAGUUGUCCCACUUUUUACAAACUAUUUCAUUUCCAUGUAUAUCACACUAUUUGGGAUCAUCAUCAUCAUAUGUCAAAAUGCUUGGCCAACCGUCUUACUAUUGAUUCCACUUGGCUGGCUGAAUUACUGGUUUCGGGUAUGUGCAUCAUUUAUGGAGCUUAAAGGUUAAAUUGUUUCUGUGUAACUAAGACUUUUAACCAUUCUUUGGCAAGAGAUAGAUAAUUAGUGCUAAGACUAAGUUAUUCCUCAUUUGGGUUGCAGAGGUACUAUCUUGCAACAUCACGUGAAUUGACUCGGCUUGACUCUAUUACAAAAGCACCUGUUAUCCAUCACUUCUCGGAAAGUAUAUCUGGAAUUACGACAAUCCGUUGUUUCAGGAAGCAGGAAAGGUUUUGCGAGGAAAACGUUAACCGUGUGAAUUCGAACCUGCGUAUGGACUUCCACAACUACGGGUGCAAUGAAUGGUUGGGUUUUCGUUUGGAACUCAUGGGGAGCUUCAUCCUUUGCAUUUCUGCAUUGUUUAUGAUCGUGUUGCCGAGCACUAUCAUCAAGCCAGGUGUAUAAUCUACUUAAAUCCUUAGUAAUGACAAAGUACUAGUUUUUUUUUUGGUUAUAUUGAUAUAAAGGCAUGACUCCCGAUUUAUCAGUUGGUGGUAUUAUUACCUGGGAAAAUAAGGUUGUUAAUAGGUUAAAACUGAAGACAUAGUUUUCAUCUUUCUUGACGAAAUAGACUCUUAACUGGUCAACUGGAUUAUUAAACCUUUGAAAUAUCAUAAUAUCUAGUAUAAUCAACCUUUUUUUCUUUUCUGUCAUUUUAAUGGGGUUUCUCAAGUCCAUUAGUAAAGGAAUUUUCAAAGAUCAGGUUACAGAACUAAUUUCUUCAUAUAAUUCUCAUUUCAUUCCUGUUAUCAUUUGCUGCCUACAAAGUUUAUAAAUGGAUGAUACAACUGGAAAAUAUAAUGUCCCUUCCAGUCAUCAUUCUCCUGUGUCCUUGCUACUGCAAUUAGCUUUUUGCAAUAGAGAUGUUACUGAUCUACACUUUGCUGCUCAGAGAACGUGGGGUUAUCUCUCUCCUAUGGAUUGUCCCUCAACAGUAUGCUUUUCUGGGCAAUAUAUGUCAGUUGUUCUUUGGAAAAUAAAAUGGUUUCAGUUGAGAGGAUAAAGCAAUUUACAAAUAUACCAUCAGAAGCAGACUGGAAGAAAGAAGAUUGCCUUCCUUCUCCAGAGUGGCCAAACAAGGGCAAUGUUGAGCUCAUAGAUUUACAGGUAGCUCAAUCUGCAUUUCUUCAAGUUUGUAUGAUGAAUAGCUGCUUCAUUAAUAUGGUAUUCUGUAAGUUUCCAGAGAUUCAUUUGUAUGUAUUCUGAACAGGUAAGAUAUCGUCCAAAUACCCCUCUGGUUAUCAAAGGAAUAACACUCAGCAUAAAAGGGGGUGAGAAGAUUGGUGUUGUUGGUCGAACUGGGGGUGGAAAAUCAACUUUGAUCCAGGUUUUCUUUAGGUUGGUGGAGCCUUCAGGAGGAAGAAUCAUUAUUGAUGGCAUUGACAUUAGCACUCUUGGGCUGCAUGAUCUUAGGUCUCGAUUUGGAAUCAUCCCUCAAGAACCUGUUCUUUUUGAAGGAACCGUGAGAAGCAACAUUGAUCCAAUUGGACAGUAUUCUGAUGAAGAGAUAUGGAAGGUAAAAAGAACUAUUACUGUUAGUAGUUGAGUUUGGACCUCAAGCUAAAUAGAUUUCCCCCAGCAUGUGCCAUAGUUUUAACAUUUACUAGUAUGCAGCAUCUGUCGACUGUGGUUACUUCACUUUUCUAAUGUGUGAUUUUGUGAUUCUGUUCCAUACAUAGAAACCAUGCUUGCCGAGAUAGGUUGUAGCGUCUUAGUCCUUCUGUUUUUCUAUAGUUAAUACUCACGGAUCCGUGAACUUAUGAACCACAGAGCCUUGAGCGCUGCCAGCUUAAGGAGGUAGUAGCUGCAAAGCCCGAUAAGCUGGACUCUUUAGGUACUGUAGCAUAAUUCUGAUCAGUUGCUUCUAUUUUGUUCUCAGUUGCUGUUAUUAGUUAUCAAUGCUACCGCUGAGAGAAUAUGAAUUUUCACUGGUUAAUGUUUUUAGUUGUUGAUAAUGGAGAAAAUUGGAGUGUCGGGCAGAGACAGCUUCUCUGUUUGGGACGUGUAAUGCUAAAACGCAGCAAACUUUUAUUUAUGGAUGAGGCGACUGCCUCAGUUGAUUCACAAACAGAUGGCGUGAUCCAGAAGAUCAUCAGGGAGGACUUCUCUUCCCGUACAAUUAUAAGCAUUGCCCAUAGAAUUCCAACAGUUAUGGACUGUGAUAGAGUUCUUGUAAUUGAUGCAGGUUUGUGGCUCUCCCACCCCUUAGUUCAGCCAUGCUUCAUCACAUACUGACAUUAGCGGACCUAGUACCAUUCUGAAGUCGCAAGCAUCUUUGUUUUCAUUUAUUUUUCGUUUCUUAUUUCUUGAGUAAAUAAUUCCUCUGGGAACAAGUAGACUGUCAAAAUGUCGCCAUUUUGGCCUGCCUUUGGUCUGUUCCCGAUUGCAUGCAGCAGAUUACCAAAAUUAAUCAUGUCCUUUUUUCCUAUGAUUCUGUUGCGCUCUGACUUUGCCUGGUCUGGGUUUAUUCUUCAUGAUUGCACCUGAUAGAGAUUUCCUGCUUUCACCAAAGCUCGGUGAAAUGAUUAUUGUUUUUCUUUUUGUGCAUUGAACAGGUAAAGCAAAAGAAUUUGACAAGCCAUCGAGUUUGCUGGAGAAGCCUUCUCUCUUUGGAGCAUUGGUUGAGGAGUAUGCCAACCGAUCUUCUGAACUCUAGCUCUGAUCCUAGCAUUCUUGGAAUGGGCUGAAGAUUGAUUCUUGUUGGUUGAAUUAUAUUUUCCACAACUUCGGCCCCGUUUGGCAAACCUGAGUUUUUUGGAAAUUUAUUUAAAAUUUUACUGUAGAUCACCGUAAAAGUUGUAGAAAAACUUUUGUAAGAUGAAAUUUUUUUUUUUCUUUUCAUUCUCUUUCUUUCUUUUUUCUUUUCUUUCGUCCCUCCCCUGUUCCCUUUCCCAAAAUUGCUGAAGCAGCAAAAGAAAACUUUUUUUUUUUGCAUUUUUUCUCUCCCCAUCUCCUACCCGCCACCCCUCUUCUCCCUCUCCCUCUCCCUCUCCCUCUCCCUCUUCCCCUCUUCCCCUCUUCUUCCUCUUUUGGCUUGCCGCUAUAUUAAAAUCUUGUGAACAGACUACAUAAACUUGUUUGUUUGUGGUCUUCACUUUGACAAUUAUGCAUUCGUUUGGUUCAAACCUUGCGAAGGAAAACCAGACAAAUCAAUUGCAAUCCUAUAUGUAAGCAGAUUAUUAAUCACAAUUCACAAGCACUAGAAAUCAGUAUGUGAAAACAAUCGGAGAUUGGCCGCGCUCGAUGUUGAGUGUUGGCUAAAAAUCCAGUCCAAUAAGGUGCAGUUGGAUCAUUAUGUAGCUCAGUCAGUGUCGAAUGUUUCAGAAAUUGCACGCCUCAACUGGAUCUCUCGUCUUUUUGGGUUUAUCUAUUGAAGUAGUGAACUAUUGAUUGGAUUGAGGCUACAGCGAGCGGAGAGGCCUCAUCAAAAAAUUUCCCCCCUUUUUUAAAGGGGACGCAGAAACUUUUUUCAUUUCCUUUUUUUUUUUGGGUGGUCUUCAGGUAAGAUUUCAGAAAAAAGCUGUAUGUUGAUGCCAAAGGUUUAGAACACGUCUCAAUUUUACAAAUGUGCGAUCUGGUCGCAAGAGACCAGAUCGGCCAGAGGGGAAGGGGAAGGGUGGUGGGGGAAGGGGAAGAGUGGGGGAGAGGGAGAAAGGAAAAAAAAAAAAAAAAAAGACCAGCACCGGAAGAGGUGAUCGGCGCUGGAACCGGCGCCGGAGGUGGCGGUAAGUUGGGGUGGGGGAGGAAGAAGAAGAAAAGGGAAAGGGAAUUUCUUUUUUUUUUUUUUUGAUGUUUCGAAGUGUGUAGGUAAAAAAUUUUGAGAUAUUUUUUUAGAUUACUUAAGUUAAAGUUGAUAAAAAACUAGUAUAAGACAAACUUGAGUAAAAACUAAAGUUCCAAACAGUAAAAACUCACGAUUAUAAUUCAAUAAUUUAGGAUAAGAAGGAAAUUGUAAUCAAUGAAUCAUAUGAUACAACAGAACAGUUCCCUAGGCUUUUCACCACAGUAUACAUACCACCACAUAAAUUUUGUUGAAAUGUCAGAAGAAGCUGGAAGUUAACCGUCAUUCCUUUCCUUAAUUUAUAUGACCAAAAAGAGUUUUGAGGAAAAUCGGCAACAAGGGCUGAUGCACGCGUAUGAGAGUAUGCAAUAAUAAACACAGGUGCUACAGCAGGUGAGCUAAUACAGUUUUAAACUACUUAUUUUUCUUGAACUAUAUGAUAGUUCAUUUUCAUCCAACUGUUACAAUCUUUAAACACAGCCGUGUGCCCACAACAUUGCAAGGUGAAUUACAACCAUUUUAAUUUUGAUGGUCAACCAAUUGAUCUGAUAACCGUCCAGAGUAAUAAAUUUGGAGGUUUCGUUGAAUGUUGUAAAAAUUCCUUCUUUAGCUCCAUGGAGCAUGGUGUCCGAAAAUUUUCAACCCUAGAUGGAUUGCUCAAACCAAAAAAUUAUUCGCCAAGGGAAAGAAUAAACAGACCUGAUGUCAAGUUCAUGUGGAGAUAAACAUUUUGUUUGGCCUAAAAUUGUGAGAAGUUUGAUAGUUCUUAAGAUUCAGUUGGAAUGUACAAAACCAGUCUUCUGAUGGCCAGACAAGGAUAUGCAAAUAUAUAAGACUUUCUGGUAGACUUGAAUAAUCCAUUGAGCAGGACACAAAUUCGUUCACUUGAUGUUAAAUCUAUGGAACAGAUGAAAAAGUGUUUAGUGAAACAUUUUCAAUAGAUUCCAGCCUGUUGACUACAUGACCAAAAGCAGGACAGAUUGGUAGGGAAGAACUUAAAAGUGAAGACUUCUAAGUAUUUACCUCUCUGCAAAGGGGGCACUUUUCCUUGGGACUAGCUGCCUUUAAUCCAUCCACUAUGGUCACUGAUCCUGCCUUGCAACCACACAUGUAGCAGAAUAUAUGACCGCAAGUCAAAGACACUGGAUCAAAAACUGUAUCCUGUUGGAGAAGAGCAGCUAAUAAAAAGCUCAACAUUGUGAAAAGAGUAGCUAAUCUGAUAUGAUGAAUUUUACAGUAUUGAUAAGACUUAAGGUAGAGUUUCUUCAUAAGAAUUAUCAGCAAGAAUCAAAUAUCAAUAAGAAAAAGCAUAAGAUAGUUACUCAGGUUAAUGAAAUAGCUGGCACGCUUACAUGAGAUAAUAAAGAAACUAACCAAGCAUAUCGAACAAGUCAAGUCCAGUUCAAGCUUGACUGAAUCAAAGAGCUCACAAGAAAGAGAAGGCUUUUCAUCUUUAAAUAUGAGGGAACAGCCGUUGAACAAUGCAGGAAGCAUUCCUUGUUUUGGCCUUUGUCUCUUGCGAAUUUGUGUGAAAGGCCAUCAGCUCACAUAGCCAUGGUGAUUGGAGAAUCUCAAGGUUCCUACUGUGCGCUUGAGACUUAAAUGCUUGGCCUUGCUUGGAGUAGUGUAUCUGUAGAAAAAAUCAACAACUGGUAAGGCAAUAAUUUACACAAAUCAAAUCUCCCAACUUAAACAAAUCAAAAUACAAAAUUAAAUUAUAAAUAAUUCGGAAUAGUCAAUCUAAAACUAACUACAAAUCAAUCUACAAAAUCAUUACUAAAUUAUUAAUUUGAUAAAAUAAUGUAUUUAGAAAUAUUUAUAUUUUAUAAUUAUUAAUAUAUUAUUCGAGUCAGGAUCAGAAUCCUAUAUUUCGUAUGCGAUCUGUUUUUUUUUUUUUUAUUUGUUAAAGUAAACGGACACGAGUCCGGAUUCGAGUAUCGAAAUUAUUUUUCAAUCCAAAUUCGAAAAAAAUUAUCGAAUCCGGAUUGGAUCCAAGUUGGGUUAUAAAUAAAUAAAUAAAAAGGAUGAUCGAAAUUUUGACGGUGCUAAAAUAGGCUUCUCAAACGUAGAUUGAUCCAAGCUGGGCUUUGCGAGCUGGCCAAUUCGCAUUGAGGUUGGAGGUGCAUUUUUAUUUUUCCCUUUUUUUGACCGAGAUUACGAGAAUUGAAGAGCUAAAUAUAUUUACUUUGAGGAUCAAUCACAGAGCGUUUGGUAGUGGAAUCGAGAAUUUGAGGCAACAUGAGAGAGUUAAUAAUAGACGCUUGAAAUGAGAAAGGAUGGAUGGGAUGGUUGCACAUUUUUCAAGAUCAAAAGAUGAACAGGAAUAAGAGCAAUUCAACAAAAAUAUCAUCAUCUCAUUUUAUAGACGCCUUUGAUAUUUUGUCAUGUAGCUGGCUUUGAUAUUGCUUACAAUCAUCGAGGGGAUUACGAAGUGAAACGCCAACACGCAUAGGGUUUUAAGGUAUUUUACUCUUAAAUGUUGGUUUUAUUCAGAAUUACUAAUUGGGUAGGAGUGAAGUAUCUCCAUCUCCAACUCUCUCAUAUUCCAUUGCAAGGUAUGCGUAUUUUUUCUCGUACAAUUUCUUGAACAUUUGAAAUUAUGUUUGUUUGCCCACCUAAUUUUUUUGUGAAAAAUUAUUUUUCUUGCAAUAUAGAUAUAUUUUUUUAAUGAUCUUUUUAUAUUUCAACCAUCUUUCACAUACAUCAUAUUACAAAAAAACUGUUAUAAUAUUUUUUUUGGAUAAAAUUUUCAAAUAAUCUUCUAUUCAAAGACGCUUAAUCCUCAAAUUUUAAGGUACAAAUUGAUCCAUAAAGUUAAAAAAAAACAAAGCUUUUUAAAAUUUUUCUAAAUGCUCAAAUACACAAAAGUUUUUUCACAAAAUUUUUUAAAGAAAUACACCUUCCAAAUGACCCCAAAAUUUGGGUCAAGUUUGCGUCUCAUCCAACACAAGAUUCAUGUGCGGAAAACUGAAAAGUAAACAACGUACGUCUUGGAAAAUCAAUCACCAGAUUCGUAUCUAUAAAAAGUAAACAAAGCAGGUUUUGGAAAUUUGAUCAAGAGAUGCAUUUGGUAGGGAUUUGGGUCACAUCAGGACAUCUUCUCAUUAACAGCAACAAAAUUACUGGAGAGUGAAAAUGGAUGCUGAAUUAGUGUACCUGUGUCUACUGUCUCCUAUGUAAAACCGCUCGUUUGAGAUAAUCAACAGUUGGUAUAUAAUUACUUUAAUUUGAAGUUAAACCGAUACUCAAAUAUAGUAUUAAUUGAUACGCAGCACAAUAUAUCUCAGGUUUACCCUAAUUACCAUGUAACAAUGUUACAUUUUGACCAAAAAAAAAAAAAAAACUAUGUGACAAUGUUUGAUGCACCGCGUACAAGAGUGACAAUGGGUCGGGUUCGGAUGAGAAUUGAAAUUUUUGGAUCCAACCCCGUUUUUUAUGUGGUAGACCUAUAAUCGAUUCGUAUGUUCGACGGGUCUUAACUUUAGAGGUUUAGAAUCGAAUCCGCCGAGUCUCAAAUUGGAUUUGAGUCUACUCGAAAAGAAAAGAUCCAAAAUAAAUAAAAAAUCAAUCACAAAUCAAAUCUCCCAACUUAAACAAAUCAAAUUACAAAAUUAAAUUACAAAUAAUAACUCUCAAUAGUCAAUUUAAAACUAACCACAAAUCAAUCUACACAAUCAUUACUAAAUUAUUAAUUUGGUAAAAGAAUGUAUUUAGAAAUAUUUAUAUUUUAUAAUUAUUAAUAUAUUGUUCGAGUUCGGGUCAGAAUCCUAUAUUCCGUAUUUGAUCUGUUUUUUUGUUAAAGUAAACGGGUACGAGUCCGGAUCCGAGUAUCGAAAUUAUUUUUCAAUAUAAAUCCAAAAUAAAUUAUCGAGUCCGAAUUGGAUCCGGAACUAAACCCGACCCAUUGACACCCCUAACCAAGUGGUACCUGCCAACACACGUUGUACUCUCUACAAGUAUUAUAAAACCCUCUUCAUGGUUGGAUGUUGAAAAAUCCAUGAAAGCGUUUAAAAAUCAACGAUGUGAUAAUAAUCAUAAAAAUUUCUUUGCUUUUUGUUUCAGUAAUAUAUGGGGUGGUGCCAAUGGGAGAGUCGUAGUUGGUGAAGAAGACCACAAAAGUUAGAAAAAAGCAGUCAAUUGAUUCCUGGAUUCUACUACAGCCGGUAACACUGACGAAAGGAAAGUAAUGGACAGCAGAAAACGAAAGUAGAAAAGUAAAAGCCGGACAUUAAACGAAAAGGAGCAAACGUCUGCGCUGUUUGGAGCCUUCGUGCAUGGGCUGGGCAGUAGCAUUCGGUGACCCCCGCGAGUCCUCGUUUUGCACUCAUAGGAAUUAUGAUCAAGCCCACAUCCUACCGUAAGAUACUACCACAAAUUCAACAAGAUCAUAACAAUGUAGCAGUAGUAGUCUUACUGUUGAGUCUUUCUUACACGGAAAUUUCGCAUCAUAAUAGUAGUACUAUCUACCCUGUAUGUUCUUGAGUUCUUUUUUUUUGUAGUGCCCUUUUUAAAUUGUUUCCGAAUGGCAAAUUGUGUAGUAUUUGGGAAGAGUUUCUCUCGGCAAUGGUAAGUUACAAUUUUUAAAACAAUUUAUGGUGGUAGACUUUUCAUUGAAUAGUUGUGAUAGAAAAUAAGGCCUUGUUUGGACAGCAAUUUUUCAAAUGCUACAUUUUUCUGAACAUAUUUCUCAAUCAUUUUUUUAUCUCACAUAUAUCAAAUCGCUAUAGUAAUUUUUUUACAAAAAAUCUAGAAAAAUGCAAGCCAAACAAGGCCUAAAACUUGGAGAGGACACUUGCAAUGCAUUCUCGGAUGUGCAUAGCGGGGGAUGCAGAGAGGGAAAUUUGUCAAAUUGGUCCCUAACAUUUACACAAAAAAUUUUUUUAGUCCCUAACAUUUAAAAGCAACUGGAAUAGUUAUUAACAUAUAAAUUAUUAUCCAUUUCGGUCCUAAUACUCGUAUUUUCUCAUUUUUUCGACUAAAAAUAGCACGCCUCUCUCACGUGGGCAUGUUUUGCCCUUGAAAAUAUGCCCAUGUGAGAGAGACGUACUAUUUUUAGUUGGAGAAAUGAACAAAUACGAGCAUUAGAACCAAAAUGGAUCAUAAUUUAUAUGUUAAGGACUAUUUUUGCUGAUUUUAAAUGUUAGUAAUUAAAAAAAAAUUUAUGUAAAUAUUAGGGACCGGUUUGACAAAUUUUCCUGGAGAGAAUUCAGGGCUAUUUAUUCAUCAUAGCAAUUUUUAUUAUUUUAAAUGGUGUUUGGAUUACCAUUUUUUGUUACAUUUUUUUUUAUAUUUUGCAUGAACAUUCUAUAAAAUCUCUAAAAAAAAAGAAGUAAUAUUAGCAUUAAAGUGUGGGGUUCGGUGCCACGGCCUAAAGCUAACGACCUAAGGUCAUCUUGUGGGCAUGGCUUUGCGGGUCAAAGAUUGCAAUCCACUUAAGAAAUGACGUGAGCUAUGACGACUACGCUUUCAGCACAACACGAGGAACGGGCGACGUCGCAUGGAAAUUGGAAUUGAUUGAUCGAUGCAGUUUGUCUUUGUCCUCCGCCUGUCUCUAUACUUUUUAUUUUAUUACUUUUCGGGAACAAGAAGAAAUCAGCAGCGGCAGUACUGGCGCCCUGCCCCCGGCCACACACGCUCUUCGUCGGAGAGCCAUACAACGGACGGGACAUGAAUCCACCUUCGUCUGAGUGCUGACAAACAACAUCCAACCUUUUGUGCAUAAAUCUUUUUGAUCUUUUCUGCUUCUGUGAUAGUAAAAUUUAUUAACGAGCAAAGCAAAAACUCGAUGCGACGGUUCCUUCUCUGCCUGGUUUGGAAGCUUUUGCAUUUAUUGGAGUCCUCCCAAAGAGGAAACCAGUUCGUUCACGUUAGUGCGACUACUAUUAUACUACAUCUGUUUCCAUACAUUUUCUUGCAGAAGUAAGCAUGUUUUUACAAAUAAAUCUAAUUUCUACAGUAAUUUUAAAAGCCGGCAACGUCCUGUGAGGGACUUAUCUACCCAAACACCCAACCCCCCAAUCUGAUGUGGGAUAGAAAAUCCCACAGGAUACCCUGCUGUUAAGAAGUAACUGCCCCCAAACCCCUGCUACUAUUAUACUACAUCUACGUCGGCAGGAAUUGAAGUUUUGCCAUCUACUUCUGAUGGCACAGUACAUUAAUGAAUGCAAGCUAUUUUAGUUUUACCCCCCGCCCCACCAAUAUUCGAUAAAUGUCCAUCUAGUCCUCCUGACCAAAAGCUUUACAAUGCACGCUUGCGGUCUCUGAAUUUUAUAGCUUCACCUGUUUUUUCUCUCUGUCUUUUUCGUUUGAAGGAUGUAACUACAGGUUCUAGGUGGUGCAAAGAAGCAUUUCUGAAGAUGUUCGUUUUCUUUAAGAAAAAUGAAAAUUAUAAUUAAUCUUCCAUUUUAUCUUCCCUCUAUUUACCGAAACAAGUUCUUUGUAUAAAGUAGCACUACUUUUUUAUUAAACUAGAAAACCAUGCACGCAAAAUUACGGCUUUCAUUCGGUGCCGCCACUUCUUCCGGAAGCUGUUUUGCCUACCAAAAAAGAAAUAGAGGAAGAAUAUUCCACUUCUUCGUUACGUACUAGACUAGUACUACCAGUAUUUACAGAUUGCUAUCUUCAUGGCCACUUAUUCAAACAAAAACUUUGACCAAUAGGUGCAACAAAUUUGACCUAUAAUUAUAUAAACUUCUGCACCAAGUUAAUUGCGUUUUUCUCACGGAUGUGACCAGGCAAUUCCAAUGGUCAAAUACCGCUUUAAGAUCACUCAUUUGUUGGAUAGAGUACUGUAUUAUUCCAAAUAAUUAUUUGAAAUAAUUACUGUAGCAUUUUUUGUAAUGUAACGUAGACGUAAGAUAAAAAAAAUAAAUUAAAAAAUAUGUUUAUAGUACAAGCGAAAAUUUUUUUAAAAAAAAAAUUGGCUAUCCAAACAUAGGCGAGGACGGCCACUCAUAUUUCGAUGCAAUUUGCUCCAUCACGUGCCAGGAAAUUUACAAGCGAUUCUAUUGUACUUUAUGGGGAUUUCACAUCUUCAACUUAAAUUCACAAUUAGAUGGUGGAACAAGUUUUUUUAAACCCUUAAAUUGUGUUAGUUUUAAUUAUUUCAAAUUCGAAUCGUUAUUAUUACUAAUAAAUAAAAAUUAUGGGAAUAGUUCCUAAAAGGACUAUAGAAUUUUCCUCUAUUUUAAAUUUAGAACUUUAGUAAUAUGCAUUUUCCGAGUUUUUCUGAACAGCUUAAAAUCGAUUGUUAAUGUUAAGUUUUGAUGCAUGUCUUUUACAAUAUGAUUCUUGCUUGCACAAAUUGAAAGUACUAUAGUAAUUUUUCACAAAAUAAUCAUACAAAAAAAUUAUUUAGCUAAAUAGCUGGAUUACUUUUUUUCUUUUUGGUUUUCUAAACUAAGCUAUUGGAUUGCAUAGGACUAUAAUCGAAGUGAUAAGGUUGUAGUGGGCAUCGAUUUGAACACCAGCGAUGUUCAAGCAUUUUGGAUGGUAUUCAUGCUACCAUUUCUAAUGUUUAUUUUUAUUUUUUAAGAAUUCGCUCUUUUCUUUUCUUUUCUUUCUUUCUUCUUUCUUUUUUUUUUUUUUUUUAGUUGAGAGACCUUGUAUGCACGGAUCUCUUAUUUUCAAUAUUUCCUAGUCUACCGUCCAACCCAACUCUUCUCCAAUACAAUAAUAUUUAGUUUGAUUAUAUCUUAGUAUGUGUCCUAUCAUUUUUUGCUAGUUUUAAUAUUAAAAAAACUGUUCAAAAACCUUUCACAUAUUUCACUAAAUGAAUUUUUUUGGCCUUACUUUUAAAAUAUUAAUUUUACGUUCUUUAUAAAUUCAAGUUAACAGUUUUUUGGUCACAAACUAAAAUUUUAACCCAUUUCUUAAUCUGAAAAUCACUACAUGACCAUAUGUAAUUAUAUUUUAUGUACAAAAAUGGUCAGAUUCCACUUUUUUAGUGGAAAAUGAAUUUUUGUCACUCAAAAAGUGAAAGCUGAACUUUUUGUGUAUAAAAAGUGAUUAUGUGCAGGUCAUAUGGUGAUUUUAGGUUAAAAGGUGAUUGAAAAUAGAAGUUAGGACCAAAUUCUGUAAACUUAAAUUUAUAAGGGAUGUAAAAUUAAUAUUUAAAAAAAAUAACAAAAAAAUUUACUUGACAAAAUAUGAUGGGCGUUUUAAACUAUUUUUCCAACGCUCAUUAUGAUACACUUAACGGACUUAUCACACAAUUCAAGCGGCCAAAUAAGCAUCUAAUUGUACAUAUUUUUUUACACCCAGUAUUCGUUUAGUUCAUACAUAAAGGCUCUACUAAUAACAUUUUUUCUCCAUGUUUAUUGUGAGGGAAAUGUUGUCAUCAUUCUUCUAUACAGGUUAUAUAACGACAAAGGCUCUUGACUUUUUUGACGAUGUAAAUUAGAUAAAAGUUCCUUUAUUCUUCAUUACAUUCGUAGUCACUCUCCUUUUAUCAACUUAUAAAUUAAAGUAAAAUAUAAGAGGAUAGCCAAUAACAAUUUCUUACUCUAUCCAUCACACUUUGAUGGUGUUGAUAUUUUUUUUCACACAGUUAAACAAAAAUUAGUUGAUUUUAUUGAAAUUGCAAAUCUGGCUUAUUAUUUUUCUAAAAUAUCCUUACAUUAACAUUAAUUAUUUCAAAUAUUAAAAUUUAUAAUCUGACUAAUCAUUACACCUUUACAUUAAUUAUAACAAUAGCACUAAGGGAAAGUUGUACCAUUCAAGGUGUGAAUCAAAUCAAUUAUUGAAUAAGAUAGAUUAUAUUUACUAAUAAUAAAUUACUUAAAUAAAGACAUUUUAGAAAAGUUAAAAAUUAACUAUAUUUUUUAAUUGAAAAGUAACCUAUAAUUUAGCAUGGAUAAUAAAAUAAAAUAAAAUAAUUUAGCAUGGGGGUGAUGGAGUAAUCUAAUUUCGAAUAUUCUCUUUUACUUUCGAGAAAAAUAAAAUAAAAUAACUAUUGAGCAUGCCCUCUUAAAAUCAAUGAUAACCAUUGAUCCGUUAGCAUCUAUGGGUGUGUUUGGAUUGCAUGUUUUUAGAUUUUUUUUUUAUAGAAAAAUUAUUGUACUAAUUUGAUAUAUGUGAGAUAAAAAUAUGAUUAAAAAAUGAGUUCAUUGAGAAUGUAGCAAAAAAUUUUUUUUUUUUUGAAAUCUGCAAUCCAAGCAAAAUAUGAAAUAAUGAUUGGUCAACUUUGAGUUCUUUCCUAUUUAAGGACAUAUAGCGAUUGGCAAUAGAAAUAGUCCCUACGAAGUUUCUUGGACUUGGGAUACCAAGAACCAUGGAGAUCGAGAUGGUUGUAGUUAGAGGUGUAAAAAUGGGUGACUUGGGCGGGUUUGGGUUGGGUAAAAUGGGUAAUGGGUAUAAGUGAGUCAACUCAUUUAUACCCAUCUAAUUACCCAUUUAAUUAGAUGGGUAUAAAUGGGUAAGUCAAAAAAUGAAUUGGGUAAUCCAAUUACCCAUUUAUAACCCAUUUAUUUUAAUUUUUUGUAAAUUCAUUUAAAUUCAUUUUUGCAAACUAAGUUAUCAAUUUAUACCACUAUUUGUACCCAUCAUUAGUUUUAAAUAUUUAUUUAUAAUGUUCAAUAAACUUAAUUACCAAUUUUUUUUUCAUUUAUACUCUAUGUCACAAAAUUACCUAUUAUUUAAUAAUUGAAUAAUAAGAAUAUAAAAAUUUGAACUAAAUACUAUAAAAAUUAAUAUAAAAACUUAAUCCAAAAAUUUUGAACCCCUAACAUUUUUUUCAUAUAUAAAUUUAAAAUUUCAUUUUAGAAAGAUAAGAAAAUAGGUUAAAAUUUACCAUAAAUUAGUAAUGCUGAAAAAUGAGUAAGUUAACAAACUAAGAGAAAAAUAAAAUAAUAAGAUAAAACCAAUAAAUAAUAAUAAUAAUAAUAAUAAUAAUAAAACAAAAGUAGUUAACAUCAUGACAAAAUGAAAAAUUUGAAAAAAAAAUUGGUGGGGGAAAAGAAGAGACUUGGGGGAAGAGAAUUAUAAAUAAGUUAAUUGGGUUUGAUGGGUUACCCAAUAAUACCCAUUUAAUAAAUGGGUAUUAUUGGGUAACCCAUUUAUACCCAUAUACAAAAAUUUAAGAUACUCAUACCCAUCUAUUCAUGGACUGGUAUGGGUAAAUUUAAUUAACUGGGUUGAUUUGUCACCUCUAGUUGUAGCUAAUAAAUGCAAGAGCUACAAGAAGAUCAUCGAAAUGAUUAAAAGCCUAUUAUUGGAAAUAACGAAGAAGUCAAAUUUUUGAAUAUUGGUUGAUCAGAGUUUCUAUUAAAUAACCUCACCCCUUUAGGUGAGGGUUCAAACCUCACAUGCAGCGAAAAAAUUUUAAGGGUUGUGCCAUAAUAAUUUUUUGAUCUAAUUGAAUUUGUAUACUCAUUAGCCCCUACCAUAGCCUCUUUGGACUCCCCCUCCCCCCUUAGAGUAGGUUAUAAAAAUGUAUCGUAACUGACAAAAAAAAAAAAAGAGUUUCUAUUAAAUAACCAAUUAAGAAAAACCUUUGCCUAAUACCAAAAUGACGAUGACCAUUGCUUCCACAGCAUUUGAUAUCAGCAUGUGGCACUUGUAGUAGCAGUGGUGACAAUAAUGGUAUUGUCGUUGAUCCAUAUUCCACAAAACCGUAAUUGACACGAUUAACGUAGUAGAAUAAUUUGUCCUCCAAUUUUUUACUACUGGUUUUUUUUUUUUUGUCGUCUAGCUGACUUCUCCAUGUCCGUGGCGGCUGUUUUGGUAUUUAAAGCCUAAGCCGGGCAAUAUUCAGCCUCUUCGCUCUCUUGGACAGCGAUUCCAGAAGCCCGGGAACCACCGGUGUCAUUCAAAUCGCUGUCUGGAACAAAAAAGAGUCCGGAGGUCUGUCCUGAAGGGGCCUAAAUCCCCGUAUACUUUUACACCAGAGGGAGAGAAGGAGAGGAAACUCAGUGAGAGGCUUCUCCAGCAUCCUAGGAUCAAUAUAGGUAUCUUUAUUUUAUUCUUAUCACGUACCAUCUCCUCGCUGUAGGUGCUUGCAUGAUGAUUUGGUCUUGAACUUGGUUUGUACGUUAAUUUGGUCACUUUGAGCCUGCGGUACAAGACAAAGUUGGUCUCUUUUUCCUAUUCCAGAGUUCCACCCUCAAACAUCCUAAAGUUUUACUUUUAUUUUUAUUUUUUUAAAAUUUGAUUUUUGCUACUGAGUAGUGAGUAGGAGUGCUUUUUACCUGCUAUUUCAUUUUUCAGCCGGCGACGUUUCCUGUGUAAGUCUGGAGCACCUGGAAACUAAUCCUUGCGCUCUUUGUUGUUCCUUCUCAUCUCGUCUGCUAAAAAUUUUUGUCUUUUAUUUUGUUUUUGUGAAGUCACUAUUCAAGAUGGUACUAACAAAGUCAUAUAAUGAUGAUAUUGUUUAGGUUAGAUGUUUUGAGGCCUAAAGGCUGCUGUUAAAAUCUCAAUUCUGAUCAUGUUUUGGUUUGAGAAAUGUUUAGCUGGAUCAUUCCUUUCUAACUUCUUCUUUUUGAGUUUUUUCCGUUUCUUUUUCUUCUGGGUCUGCCCAAAAUGCUUUCAAAGUACUGCGCAUCAUCCCAGAUUCUAAAAUGGAAUUAGUAAUUGUAGUACCGAAACUGCAGCCUCCUUUACUUUGAAAAGAGGAAGAGAGGGGGGGGGGGCGGCCAAUUCUGAUUUCAUUUCUGCCUUUUGUAAUAAUUUAUAAUAAUAACCUUUUGGAUUCUUAUUCUUUUAGCUGAGUUCUCCAAGUAUUGUUUUAACAUGCUCAUCUUGUUUCCUUCUCCAGGAGAAUGAAAGGAUGAAUUCUUUGUGAGAUAAAAUCAUUGUAUGGCUAUGCUGUAUGUCGGUUUGGCAGAGGUCACAGCAAAGAUGUCUUCACCUAUUUGGAUCACAUCGCUUUCUUGUUCCGCUUCUGUGGCACAAUCCUCAGAGGAUUCCACAGUUUCAGCCUUUGUUCAAUGGCUAAGGUUCCUUUUCCUGUCUCCCUGUCCUCAGAGAGCUCUGUCAUCUUCCAUUGCCAUUCUGCUGUGGAUAGCUUUCCUUGUUUUUGCAAUACAAAAACUAUGGUCUAGAUUUAGUACCAAACAUGAAUUGAGUUCUAACCUCAGCAAGCCUCUCAUUGAGAGCAGCACACCACCUCUUAGAGCUAACCUUUGGUAUAAGUUGACUCUGAUUGCGACCGUUGUUUUAGCCUUAUCUUCCUUAAUGUUGUGCAUUCUGGCAUUCAAUGGAGGUAACCAGGGCUCAUGGAGGGUUGUCGACGGACUAUUUUGGUUGCUUCAGGCAUUAACCAAUGUAGUGAUCACAGUACUAAUUCUCCAUGAGAAGAGGUUCAAAGCUGUUACUCAUCCAUUAUCUCUUCGGGUUUACUGGAUUGCAAUCUUCAUUAUCCAAGUUUUGUUCGUCACUUCGGCGCUUAUCCGCAUAAUAUCUGCCCGUGAAACUGAUUCAGUCUUGAGACUAGAUGACAUUGUUUCAAUAACUGUAUUUCCUUUCUUGAUUAUUCUUCUGAUUGUUGCCCUCAAGGGGUCUACCGGUAUCCUAGUAAUUAGAUGUUCUGAAUCAAUAAUAAAUGGAGAGACCACAUUAUAUGAACCACUUCAGGAUAAAUCCUCCAAUGUGAGUGGGUUUGCUACAGCAUCUAUUGUAUCAAAAGUUUUUUGGCUCUGGGUUAAUUCUCUUUUGGUAAGAGGCUAUAAAUCCCCUCUAAAGCUUGAUGAUGUCCCAAUUCUCUCACCACAGCAUAGAGCUGAGCGCAUGUCAGAGCUGUUUCAACAGAAGUGGCCUAAACCUGAAGAAAAAUCAAAGCACCCUGUGAGAACUACAUUGUUUCGCUGCUUCUGGAAGGAAGUUACCUUCAUUGCCUUCCUUGCCAUUGUGAGGCUUUGCGUCAUGUAUGUGGGGCCUACACUGAUCGAUCGGUUUGUUGAUUAUACAUCUGGGAAGAGGACCUCAAUUUAUGAAGGAUACUACCUUGUAGUUGUUCUCUUGAUAUCCAAGUUUGUGGAAGUUCUGAGCUCACACCAGUUCAAUUUUAACUCCCAGAAACUUGGGAUGAUGAUACGCUCCACACUCAUUACUUCAUUGUACAAAAAGGGUUUAAGACUUUCAUGCUCAGCAAGACAAGCUCAUGGUGUUGGACAGAUUGUAAACUACAUGGCCGUGGAUGCGCAACAGCUUUCUGAUAUGAUGCUACAACUGCAUGCCUUAUGGUUGAUGCCAUUGCAAGUUACCGUUGCCUUAAGUAUCCUCUAUACUUACCUAGGCAUUUCGACCAUUGUAGCGUUACUUGGACUUGUAUCCAUUAUGGUGUUUGUGGUGUUUGGGACUCGAAGGAAUAACCGGUUCCAGUUCAAUAUCAUGAAAGAUAGGGACUCCAGAAUGAAAGCAACAAAUGAGAUGCUUAACUACAUGAGGGUAAUCAAAUUUCAGGCUUGGGAAGAACAUUUCAACAAAAGAAUUCAAUCUUUCCGUGAAUCAGAGUUUGCAUGGCUAACCAAAUUCUUGUACUCGUUUUGUGCAAAUAUUAUUGUGCUCUGGAGCACACCAGUAUUUGUAGCUACAUUGACAUUUGGAAGUGCGAUCCUGCUGGGGGUUCCACUUGAUGCAGGAACAGUCUUCACUGCUAUCUCACUCUUUAAAAUGUUGCAAGAACCUAUUAGGACCUUUCCACAGUCUAUGAUUUCACUCUCACAGGCAAUGAUAUCACUGGAUAGGUUGGAUAGAUACAUGAUGAGUAAGGAACUGAUGGAUGAUUCAGUGGAGAGGGUAGAAGGUUGUGGAAGUGAGAUUGCUGUGGAGGUGGAAGAUGGAGCUUUUAAUUGGGAUGAAGAAAGCAGGAAAGAAGUAGUAAAGGAUUUGAAUUUUAUGAUCAGCAAAGGCGAGCUUGCAGCGAUUGUUGGGACUGUAGGAUCAGGGAAGUCUUCACUUCUGGCAUCAAUUCUUGGCGAGAUGCAUAAAAUAUCAGGAAAGGUACAUAUUAAAUAUUUUUCAGGGCCUUAUCCCUAUAUCAAAUUGAUUACUUCACAUUUGUCACUGGAAAAGUACUCUUUUUAUUUUUUAUUUUUUAUUGUGCCUUGUGUAUUUAUUUGUCAUUGAAGUAUUGCAACUUUCUGUUCAUUGUAUGGUUAGUAAUCCGAUUGUUGCCUUACACGUAAUUUGUCCAAGUAAUAGACUAUUCAGGGAUUUCACACAUCCUCUUCUUCUCCGCGUCACAGAUUCUCAUUUUGCUGAUACGAUUUAAAUGUCGUAUUGUGUUAUUCAGCAGACAGCAUGAGCACAAAGAGUUUAUCUUUUGGUAUACAUGAGCACAGUGAUUUGUUUUCUCUGGAUGUCUUGCUUGUGCAUCAGAGCUUGGUAACUGGAAGAUUUUGCCUUUUGCUACUUGUGGCCGACAGACUUAAGUUUGCCCAGUUGUUGGCUCAAGUAAUUGGAAACAUUAUGUCUAUUUUUGAAAAUCACAUAUAUUGUAAUUUUUGUCUGUGAAAAAUUGGUUCAAUUUCAACUUCCAAAGAUGUAGGUCCAAAUGAUUCAACCAUCAAACUCUAACCAGAUUACUGCUGAAACAUCAACCAAAUCUUCACAUAAACUUUUUGGGUUGGGGUGUGUAUUUGUCCUCGUUAUUUGAGUCUUUGGGGAUUAUGAUUUAUGUAUUGAAUGAUGGGCUAUUUGUCAUUUUCCAAACCCUAAAGUUCUUAUCCUUGGGAACACCUUUUAGUAUCAUUGGUGAACUACUUCUUAAUAGGGGCAGCCCAUUAUAUUCUUCUUUGUUGGCCACAAGUUGGUUGUAAGGAAAACCUUCCUGAGUGUCAUGCAGGAAAGCUCCUUAUUUUAUAAUGCUAACACAUUUCAUUACAAGCUUACCAACUAUUUGUUGCUGCAGCUCAGGGUUUGUGGUACCACAGCUUUUGUUGCACAAACCUCAUGGAUUCAGAAUGGGACAAUUCAAGAAAAUAUCCUUUUUGGUCUGUCAAUGAACCAAGAGAGAUAUAAGGAAGUUCUUAGGGUUUGUUGUUUGGAGAAGGACUUGGAUAUGAUGGAGUUUGGAGAUCAGACUGAAAUUGGAGAGCGUGGCAUCAAUCUAAGUGGUGGGCAAAAGCAGCGAAUUCAACUUGCCAGGGCUGUUUACCAAGAUUGUGAUAUCUAUCUACUUGAUGAUGUGUUUAGUGCAGUUGAUGCUCAAACUGGUUCUGAAAUAUUCAAGGUGAUAAGAGGUUUGAAAUGAUUUUCAAAAUGGUUGUGAUAUCUAUAUCUUGAAAGUAUUUAAUGCUGUUUUAAGAUGUCCUAUUUCUCCAAUUAUUUGCCAAAUUAGAUGUGACCUGAUGUUUGUAGUAGCUAUAGUCACUGAUAUAAUUUUCUCAGUUUGGUCCACUUCUUCUCCAUUUUCUUGUUAUUACUGUUAAAUGAGAACCAGAACAGAAGCCUGCUACUUGCGAAUGCCCAUUUGUUAAUGAUGUAUGAUGCUUUUGUUGAAAUUUUAUGUUGAUCCCUUGGCUUCAUUCCUUGUAGGCUCCAAUUAACAUGAUUAUUAAGCUUUGAGUGACAUGCUUGUUAGUUGAUACAUAUUGUUCUGCAUUGGCAUUGUGAUUCGUCUUUUUAGUUUCAAUUGAAGUUGUGAUAUUCCAGUAGCCCUUGUUGUUAGUUUGUCAGUUAUUAAAUGCUGUUUAACACUUUCCAGUCUCUCUUGCAGGAAUGUGUUAGAGGAACCCUUAGAGAGAAGACCAUUUUGCUUGUUACACACCAAGUUGACUUCUUACACAAUGUUGAUCUGAUCCUAGUAUGUCCUAUGCUCAUUUAUUCUCCUCCUUUCCUAGGUUGUACAUGUGUAUAUGUGGAUUCUGGCAUCAUAGACUUGACCUCUUAAUAUUGAAACCAGGUUAUGCGAGAUGGGAUGAUUGCUGAAUCCGGAAAUUACGAUGAUCUACUUGAAUCUGGGAAGGAUUUCAAAUCUUUGGUGGCUGCGCAUGAGUCAUCUAUGGAACUUGUUGAGGCAGAAAGCUCCAAGCGCAGGAAAACUUCAGUUGAUCAACCAACAUCUCCUCAAGCAUCUUUUAGUCCUAGACAAGAAAACGAUGACAUGAAAUCUCAAGAACAGACCCAAUCUGAUCGGGGAACUUCUAAACUUAUCAAGGAAGAGGAGAGAGAAACUGGGAAAGUCAGCUUACAUGUUUAUAAACUAUACUGCACUGAAUCUUUAGGGUGGUGGGGUGUGAUUGCAGUGUUACUGAUUUCUGUGUUGUGGCAAGGGUCAUUAAUGGCGGGUGACUACUGGUUGGCUUAUGAAACAUCAGGAAAGCGUGCUAUGUCAUUCAAUCCUUCUGUUUUUAUUGGGAUAUAUGCUAUUAUAGCAGCUGGUUCCUUUGUGCUGAUAUUGAUGAGAAUUUUUUUACUUACAUUCAUGGGGCUUAAGACGUCCCAAAUAUUCUUCAAAGGAAUUCUUCACGGCAUAUUGCACGCUCCAAUGUCAUUUUUUGAUACUACACCUUCUGGAAGAAUUUUAAGCCGGGUAACGUUUUCUGCACUUUCGGGUUGGGUUGUCCAUUUUGGUGCCAAGCUGGAAAAAAUAAAAUCAUGUCCAUAUGUACAUUUAGCUACAUUAGAUUGCAUGGGGAAAAAACUAGAUUAUAUAAAAGAAAUGUUCAAAGUAACUGAACAUGUUUCAAUUACUGGAUUCAUUGAUAUGUUGUUUCAUAAAAUUUUGCAGGCGUCAAAUGAUCAGACUAAUAUUGAUGUAUUUGUCCCACUUUUUACCAACUUUUUCAUUUCCAUGUACAUCACACUAUUUGGGAUCAUCAUCAUCACAUGUCAAAAUGCUUGGCCAACCGUCUUACUAUUGAUUCCACUUGGCUGGCUGAAUUACUGGUUUCGGGUAUGUGCAUCAUUUUUGGAGCUUAAAGGUUAAAUUGUUUCAGUGUAACUAAGACUUUAAACCAUUCUUUGGCAAGAGAUAGAUAAUUAGUGCUAAGACUAAGUUAUUCCUCAUUUGGGUUGCAGGGGUACUAUCUUGCAACAUCACGUGAAUUGACUCGGCUUGACUCUAUUACAAAAGCACCAGUUAUCCAUCACUUCUCGGAAAGUAUAUCUGGAAUUACGACAAUCCGUUGUUUCAGGAAGCAGGAAAGGUUUUGCCAGGAAAACGUUAACCGUGUGAAUUCGAACCUGCGUAUGGACUUCCACAACUAUGGGUGCAAUGAAUGGUUGGGUUUUCGUUUGGAACUCAUGGGGAGCUUCAUCCUUUGCAUUUCUGCAUUGUUUAUGAUCGUGUUGCCGAGCACUAUCAUCAAGCCAGGUGUAUAAUCUACUUAAAUCCUUAUUAAUGACAAAGUACUAGUUUUUUUGGUUAUAUUGAUAUAAAGGCAUGACUCCCGAUUUAUCAGUUCGUGGUAUUAUUACCUGGGAAAAUAAGGUUGUUAAUAGGUUAAAACUGAAGACAUAGUUUUCAUCUUUCUUGACGAAAUAGACUCAUAACUGGUCAACUGGAUUAUUAAACCUUUGAAAUAUCAUAAUAUCUAGUAUAAUCAACCUCUUUUUCUUUUCUGUCAUUUUAAUGGGAUUUCUCAAGUUCAUUAGUAAAGGAAUUUUCAAAGAUCAGGUUACAGAAUUAAUUUCUUCAUAUAAUUCUCAGUUGAUUCCUGUUAUCAUUUGCUGCCUACAAAGUUUAUAAAUGGAUGAUACAACUGGAAAAUAUAAUGUCCCUUCCAGUCAUCAUUCUCCUCUGUCCUUGCUACUGCAAUUAGCUUUUGCAAUAGAGAUGUUACUGAUCUACACUUUGCUGCUCAGAGAACGUGGGGUUAUCUCUCUCUUAUGGAUUGUCCCUCAACAGUGUGCUUUUCUGGGCAAUAUAUGUCAGUUGUGCUUUGGAAAAUAAAAUGGUUUCAGUUGAGAGGAUAAAGCAAUUUACAAAUAUACCAUCAGAAGCAGACUGGAAGAAAGAAGAUUGCCUUCCUUCUCCAGAGUGGCCAAACAAGGGCAAUGUUGAGCUCAUGGACUUACAGGUAGCUCAAUCUGCAUUUCUUCAAGUUUUUAUGAUGAAUAGCUGCUUCAUUAAUAUGGUAUUCUGUAAGUUUCCAGAGAUUCAUUUGUAUGUAUUCUGAACAGGUAAGAUAUCGUACAAAUACCCCUCUGGUUAUCAAAGGAAUAACACUCAGCAUAAAAGGGGGUGAGAAGAUUGGUGUUGUUGGUCGAACUGGGGGUGGAAAAUCAACUUUGAUCCAGGUUUUCUUUAGGUUGGUGGAGCCUUCAGGAGGAAGAAUCAUUAUUGAUGGCAUUGACAUUAGCACUCUUGGGCUGCAUGAUCUUAGGUCUCGAUUUGGAAUCAUCCCUCAAGAACCUGUUCUUUUUGAAGGAACUGUGAGAAGCAACAUUGAUCCAAUUGGACAGUAUUCUGAUGAAGAGAUAUGGAAGGUAAAGAGAACUAUUACUGUUAGUAGUUGAGUUUGGACCUCAAGCUAAAUAGAUUUCCCCCAGCAUGUGCCAUGGUUUUAACAUUUUCUAGUAUGCAGCAUCUGUCGACUGUGGUUACUUCACUUUUUUAAUGUGUGAUUUUGUGAUUCUGUUCCAUACAUAGAAACCAUGCUUGCCGAGAUUGGUUGUAGCGUCUUAGUUCUUCUGUUUUUUUAUAGUUAAUACUCACGGAUCCGUGAACUUAUGAACCACAGAGCCUUGAGCGCUGCCAACUUAAGGAGGUAGUAGCUGCAAAGCCCGAUAAGCUGGACUCUUUAGGUACUGUAGUGUAAUUCUGAUCAGUUGCUUCUAUUUUGUUCUCAGUUGCUGUUAUUAGUUAUCAAUGCUACCACUGAAAGAAUACGAAUUUUCACUGGUUAAUGUUUUUAGUUGUUGAUAAUGGAGAAAAUUGGAGUGUCGGGCAGAGACAGCUUCUCUGUUUGGGACGUGUAAUGCUAAAACGCAGCAAACUUUUAUUUAUGGAUGAGGCGACUGCCUCAGUUGAUUCACAAACAGAUGGCGUGAUCCAGAAGAUCAUCAGGGAGGACUUCUCUUCCCGUACAAUUAUAAGCAUUGCCCAUAGAAUUCCAACAGUUAUGGACUGUGAUAGAGUUCUUGUAAUUGAUGCAGGUUUGUGGCUCUCCCACCCCGUAGUUCAGCCAUGCUUCAUCACAUACUGACAUUAGCGGACCUAGUACCAUUCUGAAGUCAAGCAUCUUUGUUUUCAUUUAUUUUUCGUUUCUUAUUUCUUGAGCAAAUAAUUCCUCUGAGAACAAGUAGACUGUCAAAAUGUCGCCAUUUUGGCCUACCUUUGAUCUGUUCCUGAUUGCAUGCAGCAGAUUACCUAAAUUAAUCAUGCGCUUUUUUCCUAUGAUUCUGUUGCGCUCUGACUUUGCCUGAUCUGGGUUUAUUCUUCAUGAUUGCACCUAAUAGAGAUUUCCUGCUUUCACCGAAGCUCGGUGAAAUGAUUAUUGUUUUUCUUUUUGUGCAUUGAACAGGUAAAGCAAAGGAAUUUGACAAGCCAUCGAGUUUGCUGGAGAAGCCUUCUCUCUUUGGAGCAUUGGUUGAGGAGUAUGCCAACCGAUCUUCUGAACUCUAGCUCUGAUUCUAGCAUUCUUGGAAUGGGCUGAAGAUUGAUUCUUGUUGGUUGAACUAUAUUUUCCACAACUUCGUCUUACAUGUUAGGAAGCAUACGGGCUAUUCAAAUGUUAAGAUUUGUCAAUAGAGGACGCGGUACGGUAGUUGCAUUAUCCACACCACAAUUGAUGAGCAGCCAGAAACCAAAACCAGUUCUUGAAGUGAAGCUGAUGGACGCGGUAUCAGCUGCCAUGAAUCAAGUUCCUUUGCGGCAAAUAUCCUGAAUUCAUUAGUUGAUCCUCGUACGGGAAAGUUGAUCUCCUGCUCUCUGCAAGGAUCAUUAAGAACUCGAAGCAUUUCAGCACUCGUCAUCUAUAGCUUAUUUUAUUGUAUUUUAUUUCUGAACGUCCUUAUGAUAGGUUCUUCCACAUUGCUUUCAAGGAUUUAUCGAAUUAUCAGGACCAUCUAAGAAUCUGGCUAAAGUCCUAGUGUACAUUCAGAUGCUUGAAUUUUAUCCAUAUUUUGUAUAUGAUUAUUCUUAAAUCAUAUAAAUUAUUAUUAUUAGUAUCCUUGACUACUUUUAUCUUUUUUAAUAAAUAUAAGUUAUUUUUAUUUAUAUGGAGUUAUUUUAUUUAGUUAAUUAUAAUUAAUGUUGCUAGAAACAGAAUAUUCAUUCAUAACAAAAUCAAAAUAUAUUAAUUUUUAGGAAAAAUUUCAGAAACCUCCUUUGAGGUUUUUAACAAUUUCAUUUAGCUUUCUCAACAUUUUAAAAAUCACACAUAUCGCCGUAUAAUUUAAAAUGACAAUACUAUCCUUAAAUAUUUUAAUGAAAUUUCCUUGUUUGGUGUGCUUAUAUUUAGAAUGACUUUUAAAAUUAUAUUUCAUUCAUUUUCCUUCUUGUGCCUUUUAUUUAUUCAAUGUUUUUGCUUAUCUUUAUUUUCUAUUUUUUGGUAUUAAAAUUAACAAUAAAUAAAUAAGAAAUGAUCCAAAAUUACUACGAAAUUAUGAUAAUUUGACUACUCGAAAAAUUUAUAAACUCUAAAUGAAUUAUUUCAACAUUUUCUUUUAUACCUUAUAAAUCUAAAUUCAUAAUAAAAUAACAUCAAAAGUAUCCUAUUAUAGUGAUAAAAUUAUUAUUAUAGUUGUUUAUUAAACAGUAAGUAUGGACAUGAAAAUUUUGGUACCUUUUCCUUAUAAUUAUAUUAGAUAAUCUUAUAAUUGUAUAGAAAAAUAAAUUAAAACUCAUUACACAAGGGUAUUUUUAGGUAUUCAUUUAAAAAUUUGACCAAAUCAAUAUUAUUUUAAGGUUUUGUUACAAAAACUAUCAAAUCAAUGGAGGUAGGUAUAAUUCUUCAAAUUUGAGGGGAGCUCAAUGAAAUUGUUAGAAAUCUCAGGAGAGGUUUCUGAAAUUAUCUCAUAUUUUUAAAAUAACUAUUAAUUAAUUUUUUUUUUCAUGAAUUAUUCUGCUUGCUCAACUUCAACAACUAAUCAAAACUUUUCUUUAAAAAAAAAAAAUUCAUUGCAAUCAGGUGGAAACAGCGAAGUACGAACAAACAGAAAAUUUGAGUCGUGACUGUUAAAAACAUAAAAAUAAAAAAGAGAACGACGAGUUAAAUUAGACCGUCUCCCCUCUUACCCCUAAAACCCUACUAAAACCCCCCACAUCCGUUUUCCAAGCUUCCCGAGAGAGAGAGAGAGAGAGAGAGAGAGAGAAUAGAGGACGAUGGGGAGGUCGCGAAGGAAGUACAGGAGGUCAAGGCCGAAGGUGCGGGUCGGGUUGCCAAAGAAACACCCUAACGUAUUCAAGCCGGCCUUCAAUCUUCCCCCGAAGCUCCGAACUCUGUUGGAUCCCCACUCUUCCAAGUGGGACGACACAGCUAGCGUCAUCCACAAUUACAAGUCAUUCGGCGUCGUUUCUAACCCCAACCUGCUCAGCGUACGCUCUCGCACCUCCCACAUCAUAGAAACCGAUUCUCUUCAGGUCCCACCGCCGCCUCCAUCCGACGACUCCAACGCCUUCGAUUCCGGGAGCGAUCUCGAAGAGGAUGGUCAGUUUUAUUUUAAUCUUUAUUUUUGGAUUGAAUACUGAAUGCAUUUUUGCCUUCAUUUUCAAGGUAGUUUCAUUUUUUUAAAUUAUUAUUUUUAAAUAGAUUUUGGGUCAGUUUCUCCUUUGCUUAAACAUACAGUUUAGCUCAUGUUUAAAUUGCAAUAAUGAGAUGUGAACAUUGAGGUGCAUUUCGAAAAGGAUUUUGGAUCUUAUAUACUGCUGUGAAAAAAUACCAAUGCCAGGUUAAUUGUUUAAUUAGUUUCUUCUAGAAUUGUUUAAAACUCCAGCAAAUGGGAAGCUGGCCCCGCGCCCGCCCCCACCCACCAAAAAAAGAAUUUUGUUAAUUUGGUCGUAGCUUGAACUUUGCAGGCGGAUCGUUUUAAUAGGUUUCAUUCUUUCAUUUUCUUCUUGUGGCGAAAAAACAUAUGCUUUGAGUUUUUCCUCUUUUUUUUUUUCAACAUAAAAAGCUGCUCAUUGCCAUAAACAUAGGUUUUUUUUUAAACAUAUGCAAAAACAUAUCUGUUUGGAUCCUUCAGUUUUUCAAAUACUAUAAAAAUUUUUAAAAAGUGCUCUAAAAGGUACUCUAAAAGUAGUUUAAAUUUUUUUAUGUUUAAAAAAUAUCCCAAAAUAUAUCUUAAAAACUCUACUACUCUUAAAUAUUCCAAAAUAUUUUCUAAAAAUAUCCCAAAAUAUACUCUAAAAAGUCCGCUACAGUAAAAUUUUUCAACAACACCCUAAAAAACAGCUAAUCCAAACAUAGAGAUACUUUCUUCCCCUUCCUUGUGACAUCAACUGUGUAAAGCCUUGAAUUAUGCAGUUUUUAUUUGAGAAUGUACCCCUCACCUCUAUGUAAGUAUUGCUGACAUGAUAGGUUGGAAAAUUCCUAGAUUUAAAGACAGCACUUGGGAAGAAGCGCAGUGAUGGGAAAAGUGCACCAUUGCAACCUCUAACUACCAUGCAGCGCUAUCACAUUGGGCGACUUAUAGAUGAAUAUGGGGAGGACUAUGAGGUGAGAAUUGCAAAUGUUACAGAUACCUAUCAAUUUUGUUAUUUGUUUCUUUGUGCUAAUUAGAUUUCUUGCUCUACAGAGCAUGUUCAAGGAUACAAAACUAAACAAGAUGCAGCAUUCAGUAGCAACGCUAAAGAACUUGUGCAGAAGAUAUCACACCUGUCAAGGGAAAAAUCCUUUAAUUAAGAAGUAAGAAGGGAACAAUUGAAGUUUGCUACAGAAUACCAGUAGCUUUUGCUGCCAGGGGAUGCACAUUGAUUUGUUUUUGACUGAAAAUGCCAGCACCCCUACUGUUGGAUGUUUGCAAUACAUAAAUGAUUAGCUUACUGAGUAGAAGAUGAAUCUUUUUAACGACUGAUCUACUAAAAAAUUUCUUUCACUUCUUGAUAUCCCUUAUCCUUCUUUUCCAUUUGCUUCUCCUUUUUGGUAUGUUUUGGGGUGUUUGUGGACCAUGCUUUUCCUAAGGUUUUUUUUCCUUUUGUAUUUUUUGGGUGAGACUUUAAUGACAGAAUUUCGCUUUAGAGACUCAGAUGAAGAGGGGUUUUUUAUUUGUACGAUACCAAUGAACCUAAUUGCAGGGGGGCACUCUAAUUUUUUUUUAUUUUUUUUCUUUGCCAAAAGCAUGUUAUUACAAAAGGACGAUACAGAACGAGUAAUAGGCCUCCAAAAUUCACCUGAUAACGCGGCCACCGGUUAUUUUGGAGCUCAGGUUAGCCUUGUUCAAAAGCCAACUUAUUUAUGUACAGGUUAUUUUGGUUUCGCUCAGAAAUCUCGGAGAAGACAACAGUUCCAAUCCCAGAGAAACCCAUAGAUUCCCUUAUACAUGCAUAGCAAAUCAAGGACAAUUAAAGCUGCGAUUCUUGUUAUAUACCCAUGAAUGCUCGACACUGUGAUUCCCAGUGCUCCUUGGCUUGUCUAAUUCUUUCGGCUCGUUCAGACUGUAGUCGCGCCGCCCAGUACUCCGGACAACUGUUCAAGUAUGCAUUUUUUUUUUUAGUACGAACUAAAGUAAUGAAUAAAUGCCAACUCACAACACUCGUCAUGAAAUCUACCAAGUGCAUAAGUUUAAGACCACACCUUUGGCUUAAUAGAAUGUUUAGCUCCUCCAAAUGCACUGCACCUUCAUAAACUCCUGCCUACAAUUGCAACUCUGACAGUUAUAGAAUGGAUGACAACAUGCAAUAUGAAUCUCAAGGGACAUUAUUGGUCUUUUAACUCACAAUUAUAAUUCAAUAAUUCGGGAUAAGAAGGAAAUUGUAAUCAAUGAAUCAUAUGACACAACAAAAUAGUUCCCUAGGCUUUUCACCAUAGUAUACACACCACCUCAGCAUAUACCACAUAAAUUUUGUUGAAAUGUCAGAAGAAGCAGGAAGUUAACCGUCAUUCCUUAAUUUAUAUGACCAAAAAGAGUUUGAGGAAAAUCAGCAACAAGGGCUGAUGCAUGCGUAUGAGAAUAUGCAAUAAUAAACACAGGUGCUACAGCAAGUGAGCUAAUACAGUUUUAAACUACUUAUUUUUCUUGAACCAUAUGAUAGUUCAUUUUCAUCCAACUGUUACAAUCUUUAAACACAGCCGUAUGCCCACAACAUUGCAAGGUGAAGUACAACCAUUUUAAUUUUGAAUGGUCAACCAAUUGAUCUGAUAACCGUCCAGAGUAAUAAAUUUGGAGGUUUUGUUGAAUGUUGUAAAAUUCCUUCUUUAGCUCCAUGGAGAAUGGUGUCCGAAAAAUUUCAAACCUAGAUGGAUUGCUCAAACAAAAAAUUAUUCGCCAAUGGAAAGAAUAAACAGACCUGAUGUCAAGUUCAUGUGGAGAUAAACAUCGACAAGUUUGUUUGACCUAAAAUUGUGAGAAGUUUGAUGGUUCUUAAGAUUCAGUUGGAAUGUACAAAACCAGUCUGAUGGCCAGACAAGGAUAUGCAAAUAUAAGACUUUCUGGUAGACUUGAAUAAUCCAUUGAGCAGCACACAAAUUCGUUCACUUGAUGUUAAAUCUAUGGAACAGAUGAAAAAGUGUUUAGUGAAACAUUUUCAAUAGAUUCCAGCCUGCUGACUACAUGACCAAAAGCAGGACAGAUUGGUAGGGAAGAACUUAAAAGUGAAGACUUCUAAGUAUUUACCUCUCUGCAAAGGGGGCACUUUUCCUUGGGACUAGCUGCCUUUAAUCCAUCCACUAUGGUCACUGAUCCUGCCUUGCAAGCACACAUGUAGCAGAAUAUAUGACCGCAAGUCAAAGACACUGGAUCAAAAACUGUAUCCUGUUGGAGAAGAGCAGCUAAUAAAAAGCUCAACAUUAUGAAAAGAGUAGCUAAUCUGAUAUGAUGAAUUUUACAAUAUUGAUAAGACUUAAGGUUGAGUUUCUUCACAAGAAUUAUCAGCAAGAAUCAAAUAUCAAUAAGAAAAAGCAUAAGAUAGUUACUCGUGUUAAUGAAAUAGCUGGCACGCUUAUACGAGAUAAUAAAGAAACUAACCAAGCAUAUCGAACAAGUCAAGUCCAGUUCAAGCUUGACUGAAUCAAAGAGCUCACAAGAAAGAGAAGGCUUUUCAUCUUUAAAUAUGAGGGAACAGCCGUUGAACAAUGCAGGAGCAUUCCUUGUAUUGGCCUUUGUCUCUUGCGAAUUUAUGUGAAAGGCCAUCAGCUCACAUAGCCAUGGUGAUUGGAGAAUCUCAAGGUUCCUACUGUGCGCUUGAGACUUAAAUACUUGGCCUUGCUUGGAGUAGUGUAUCUGUAGAAAAAAUCAACAACUGGUAAAUCCAAAAUUCUUGUGCAUUAACUUGAGAAUAUCAUACUCAUGCUCUAUUAAAAGUAAACCUUAUCAUAUUUCUUCAGUAUCUUACGCAAGGCAAUGGCAUUAAUCAGUGCGUAAGUGACCAACUCCUUGCCUUCUUCAAUCAGUGCGAUAUGGUUGCCUUGUAUUUUGUCUUUAAACCAAAUAAAACACUUACGGAAACCCGAUGCCAAAUGGAGCUCAAGCAACCUCUGGGCUUUCUCGUUGAAGAAGCCAACAACUUCUGACAUUUCCUUCAGAAGCGAAGGGAAAAACGUGCCAUCACACACUGCGGAGCACAAAAUACCCUCAUUUAGAUGAAUCCUAAUCAAGAGAAGAGUUUAUACUUGAAGGGUUCAAUGCUUAUACUGAUUUGUCUAUGCAAAAGUGAAAACAGGAAUAAAAGCAUCAUUUCCUGCCACACCAAGAUGUAUGGUGCCUUUUUUUUUUCUGGGGGUUUUCCUGCUACAUGGUAAACAUAUUAAUGAUUCCCCCCAACCCCCCUCAAUUCAAAUAGCCUAUCUCUUCAGUUACAAGGUCUUAACUAUCGUUCAAUCAAGGUGGAUUUUUAGAUAGUCAGGACGUAGAAAUUGAUCAGAAUAAGAAAUUCAAAAUUCUUAUCCAGAUCCUUCGGCAUCAAGAAAAACUCGUAGAUCUUUUAAAUGCAUCAUUCUCCCAUCUCUACCAAUAUGUAAAGUCUUUCCUAAUACCAAGACAAACGAAAAGGUAUUACCAGUGUUCUUGUAUUGUACAAGUACUCACCGUAAUUAGGAGGUGAUGAAAGGUAACCAAUGAUAACAAAAACAAAGAGAAAACGUACGUUGAAAAGCCAAUUCAGAAAUAGAACAACCCAAAAAUUCAUCCCAAUUCAACGCAGGACGUAGGAAUCUGCAACCCAAUCACACCUUAUCUCGGUGUCGAGUAAUAAUUACAAUAUCAUUUGUAACCGACGGAAUGUGUGAAAUCCAAUAAUCAGAAACUAAUAGUACUAGUUAUGAAUAGAAGCUCUAAGCACCUGGGCAAGAGUCCGGGCAAGAGGAGGGUCUACCGCAGAGGUUAGAAUCUCCGAAAUGAUCAGGAACAAGGGCAGUGUUAUCACGGGAUUGAAGGUGUCGUCGACACCUUUUCAAGAUUUUCUUGAGAUUCUUGAAACCAACCCCAGGCAAUUUCUUCCUCUGGCAUUGUCCUUGCAUGUAUUCCUCGUACUUCUUGCAGAACUUCAUCUUCAACCUCGCCUCACCUCCUUGCUUUUCCAAUUCCUAAUAGGCUAAUACUAAUGAUAUGGUGAUAAAACGCGGCGUAGAAUUUAAAAUUUCUUAUAGGACCGAGGUUUUCUUUGUCCUGUUCAGAUAACUUAAAAACCCUUAACCUUUUGGUUAGAAAUUUGCUACUCAACCCCUUUCUAAUACUAAUGUGCGAAUGCCAAUUCUGAGUAGUUUAGGUUCUGAAAACAAUACUGGGCUGCUGCUACUGCAACUAUCCAAUCCAGGAGUCUCCUCUCUCCACUGGACGGCCCUCUCUGUUCUCUCUCUAUAUUCCCGAAACUACGGUUUUCGACGACACCUGAAGCCAAAUUAACCCAGCGUAACCCGGUCCGUCCGAGAAAAUAAGGGAAAGCUUUACCACAAAAGUGGCGAAUUAAGAAAGGGGUAAAAAAAUAUAAGAAAAAGUCAAUUUACCGCUAACCUUUUCACAAGUCUCGCGGAUUACUACGUUGGAGUGCCACCUGAUGAAUAAGUUAUUUGGUAGAUAUGACCGAUGCAAUACAUUUAAAUUUGCGACAUAGUUCAGGACGUAUAUUGUGAUAUUUAUUAAAAAUUUUGAAAUAAAUGAAGAGGUAAAUAUGUUUUUUACCAAUUCAAAAUUGCACAUCGCUGGCCACGCAGACACGUAUAUCCAUUCAAUGCAGCCCAACUAUGCGAUUUCUGACGCAGACGCCAAAAAUUAGAAAAAAUCACAAAAAAGUUCCAUCACCAACUAAAAUAAAAAACCACCGGCUCAGUCGCGUUCCUCGUUGGAUUAUAGGUAAGCGUUCGAAUCUCAUUUGUAACGAAAAAAAUUUAAGAGUUGUACCAUAGUACUUUCUUGAUCUAGUUGGGUCUGUAUACCCACUAGCCCCUACAACAGCCUCCUUAGGCUCCCCUACUCCUAGAUUAGGAUAGAGUAGGUUAUACAAAUGUAUUAUUACGAAUAAAAAAAAUUAAUACAUACACACAUAUAUAUAUAUAUAUAUGCGCCCACGCCGGUCCGGGAUAAGCCAGAAGCUUCCUGGUUUGCUUAAAUUCCUUCCUGAGUUGGGUCGCACUCGCACCCAAAAGAAAUUCCGGCACUUGGCCCCUAAUCUCACGGGGAAAUAAAAAGUCAAAAAGGGUUAAACUUAAAAGAUAAGUACGCAAUCUACUACUAUUCUUGCACACGCAAGUUCACAAACUAUUCAUUUUAGUUUAGAAUUAAUUUUAUAUAUAUUGACAAUAUAUACACUUUCACCGUUAAAUAUAUGAUAUAUAGUUCAAAUUUUACAUAUGCGUUAUCCAUUCAAUCGUGACAGUACAUACACUGUCAAUGUACAUAAAAUUAAUCCUAAAAUAAGACAGAGUAGUUUGUGAACUUGAGUCGGCUAGAAGGCAGAACAAAAUGCCAUUCACUGAACUUAACCUGGAUUGGCUAAAACUACUCUGUUUCUAUUUUCUACUUCUUCCGAGUCUAGUGCGUAUGAGAUACUACUAUAUUCGGUCGGCCGGCUUCAACUUAAACGGCUCAAAUCACAUUUCUCAUUUGGGGGAGACACAGCAUUCUUAACCUCUCUGUUAAGGCAUUUAAUUAAAAAAAAAAAAAAAAAAAAAAAAACCAAUACACGCGUGAUGAUAUCAAACCAAUAUAUGCUUAUUUAAAUUGUUUUAAUAUCUGAAGUGAUUAGGAGUCAAUAUCAGGAGUCUAGACACUGGGUUGAAUGAAUCAAAGGUCAAUGCUUCACCAAUUCCACAAGAAGUUACCCCGCUUUCUUAUUAUUUGUACGAUGAUGCGUUUUGGCGGAGAUGAUAGUAGUAAUUAAUUAGCGGUGUCAUCAUGAUCAUGCUGCCAUUAACAAUUGUUUAUACAUACAAUUUAAAUAGAAUGCAAAACGGCGACUUCGUUACAGUAGAUUGUAGACGGAUGCAUUACUUAACCAACCAACAUGUAGUAGCGGUCAUGCAUUAAAUGUCAAUCACGCAAUUUAUUGCCGUGAUCAUCACCAUCAUGACCUGGCUUGGUGGUGGUGGUGGAAUUCUGCUCUGGAGGCUUGCUUUUGUUCGGAUUGUAUUUUUUAUUUUUUUUUAUAAAAAAUUUAUCGUAAUAAUUUGCUAUAUAUAAAAUUAAAAAAAAUCUGUUCACGAAAAAUGUAACAAUUUUUCUUUGGAAACAAAUUCGGCUUCAUAGAGAGGGAAUAACGUAACAAUUAAUUAAUUGUGAAAGCUCGUAGAGAAAACGAAUUCGACUUCGUCAUCGUGGCUACAGAAAAGAAAAUACACCAAAUUGCUGCUCCACUUGACCUUGAGAGAGAGGGGGAUUGGUUUACACUUUUGCACAUCAAAGAUCAACCCACCAUAGUGGGAUUGAUGUCCAAUAUUCCUUGCCAUUCAUUCUUCUUGGCUCUUUUUCUUUAUUCAUUCGGCAUUCAUGCAUCGAAGGUGAAUGGUCACGGAAUUCAUCCACCACCACAAACCCUUUAAUCAAUACCUUUGCUUAUGACCACUUUUUCUUUCUUUCAACUUUUUUUUUUUUUUUUUUGCCUUUUAACCUGAUUAAUCACGGAGAUGAGCCCCUCGAGCAGAUUUUGAGAACCUUGGAAAUUGAUUACUAUUUGACUAGUGAUCCUAUUAUAGAACCUGGAAAUGGAUUUUUUAUUUUUUAGGUUAUUUGGUGGUCGAAUCGAAGACAUAAUAAUUACAUAGUAGUCAUGGAUUUUGAUGAGCUAGAAAUUGAUUGGUGGGCCUUUUAGACGGAGACGUAACAUUCAAACUGGGCCAGUAUAUGGUCCGGUGGGCAUCACCUGUAGCAUCAGCAGGUCGUGGAAAUGCACCCUUCCUUCUCAGCUCACAGGCGGGCCUAUUUUAACUGGAUAGGCCUAAGGUAAAUAAGUCAUCUACACAAAUCUGAUUUUGUUUUUGGGUUUUUAAAUGGACUUGAACAAUACCUUGAUACCCAACACCUCAAAACCCAUAUUAUGGAAAAGGCAUUGGCAGACAAAUCUGACAAAGUACAAUAGAUGCGGCGGCAUCCCAACUAUGGACUACUGAGCAGUGAAUAUAUCUGAUUUAAAGGCUUUGAAAUGAAGGCUUGAGAACCUUCGUGGCCUUUCCAGCCAAAACAUUAUGGAAUGGCGUGCACAUGCGUUAUUCCGAUUCCAAUUCCAAUUCCACCAAGCAAAAUUAUUAAUUGUAACCUCUCAGUCAUUUAAAACUAAGGCCCAUGUCAGUCCAAGUGUACAAUACUCUUCAACGAACCCGGUCCUAACAACCUCUGUUCUGUCCGUCCGGGAGUUGACUGUUGUGCUCAGACGAAGACGAAGAAACAAAGAAAAUAAGUACAGAUCAUGGCGACGGGGGAGAAGUCGGUGAUGGUGGUCGGAAUCGACGACAGCGAGCACAGCUUCUAUGCCUUGCAGUGGACAUUGGAUCACUUCUUUACUCCUUCACCAGCAGUCUCUCCAUUCAGGCUCGUCAUCGUCCAUGCCAAGCCUACUCCUUCUUCUGCCAUCGGCCUCGCCGGCCCUGGUACCUCUACCUCUACCUACCCACCUUAAUUUUUACUUCUAGCGUUUAUUUUCACAACAACAAUCUACAAGAUUACAUAGGGACUUGGGAGUUUGUCUGCCUUGAUUCUUUCGAGGGACCUCUUAUAUAUAUAUAUAUAUAUUUAUUUAUUUUAAUUUGUGAUUCUUAUUAGUAUCAUUAUGUAAAAUGAUCAGGUGCGGCUGAUGUGUUGCCGUACGUGGAUGUGGAUUUAAAGAAGAUAGCGGCCAGAGUUCUGGAGAGUGCCAAGGAGAUUUGUUCUGCUAAAUCGGUAUUUGUUAAUUUCUUUUUCUGUUUCUAAUUCAUUCUUUUAUAGCCUUUUUGUUUUUGCUGUUAUUAGGACUCGUAGCUCAGUUUUUGUGCUCUGAUUCACGGCACAGAUAUCUUAACCCAAUUUAUCUUCUUCGCCUCUUUACCAUACAAUCUUCCAAUAAGAAGAUUCCCACUUAAAAAGCUACGCCUACUAGUAGAAGGUAUAGUAUGUUGUCAUUCACUGGUAAAAGGUACACCGCAAUCCCGUAGCCCAGAGUAAUGCGUCCAGCGUAGCCAGUUCAAAAUCGUCUCGAAACAAAGCCAAUUUUGAAAAACAAAAUAGAGAUAAGAGAGAGAUGAAAAUUUGUACUAUUUUGACAUUUGCAGGUGAAUGAUGUAGCUGUGGAAGCUGUCGAAGGUGAUGCCAGGAACGUUCUUUGUGAAGCUGUGGAGAAACACCAUGCCUCUAUCUUGGUCCUUGGCAGUCAUGGUUACGGAGCUAUAAAGAGGUAUUGGUUCCACCCCAUUAACUCUUUUUUGUUGUAGCUUGGCUUAACUUGCUGCUACAGCAGAGAUGCGGUUAUGACAUUUUCGUGCUAUCUUCUGCAGGGCUGUUUUGGGCAGCGUGAGUGAUUACUGUGUUCAUCACGCCCACUGCACCGUGAUGAUUGUGAAAAAGCCGAAAAUCAAACACUAAGGCUGCUUCAUCUAAUACUAAGUAGUACUACAUCUUAGUUCUUACCAUAUAAAUAAUGUGCAAUCCAAACACCACUACUGUACUGUAAUUUCAGGAGCCUCUGCGUUCCCUGAUCAUUGUUUCCAAAUUAUACUCUCAAUAGUCUGUACUCUUGUUUGAGAUGAUCUGCGCGCAUAGACGUGCCUUGUUAUACGAUGAUUUUGCUUGUGCAUCUUUGCUACAGUUUUGUUUAAAUCUUAACAGAAGGCAUCAUAUGCACUGUUUCUAAGGGAUCCUACGCGGGUGCUUCGAAUUACUACACCCACGUUAUUGAUUCGAGACAACUACGCAGAUUGCAGAGCCAGAAACCAUGCCGGAAGAAUUGAGACAAGGAUUUUCUGUUACCAUUUGAAGAACCAAGGGUUCCGUUUGUCAAAACUUAUGACCCAACUUACAAUCCUCUGGCCGGGAAGGACCACGAGAAAGGGGAAAUACCGUGUUUGAAUUGAACCUUUUCUGGAUAGAGAUCGGAGGAGCGGAUCAAAAAAAUUGGUGAAGGAAGCAGGAAAACCUAGCAUCCCAGCAGAACAAGUAUAAAUAUGCUCAAUUGUAUAAUCCUUAUCAGUUGAGCUGGAGAAAAAAUCUACACUCCCAGCAUACAUGCUAGUACACUUGAUAUCGUCAUCAUAAUGCAUAGCUCCAAAACCAAUUAAGUCGCGAUUAGGACAGCUGCGCAGAGCCAUCUUAUGAACAAUCAUGCCUUUGUCUUGUGCUCAAAUUAAUAAUGGAGGAGCAUAAACUCGGGACAGGAACAUGCUGUUGAUUAGAACAGCCGUGCAGAGCAAUUACAUUGUAGAAGAAUAACUAAACAAGGAGAGUCAGUGAAGGAAGAUUAUACUGCUAUCUACCAAGAGGAUUUGGCUGUGGAUGAAACAAAAUGUUGAUGUUCAGCUUCGAUUACCUCAUUGGGACUGAUGCUUCUUCCCCUGAGGAAAUUGGAAUACCAGUGUGCGGAGAGCUUUGGGUAUCUUUUCAAUUGCUUGUCACUCAAAUCCACAAAGUACAUUCCAAAACCCUUCUGAUAGCCACCCACCACCUCAAAACCGUCUAAGAAUGACCACAUGAAGUACCCUUUUGAGUUUGCUCCAUUCCUUCCAAUAUUUUGAAGAUGAAAGACCAGAAAAAGGCUAUCAUUGAAACUUCAAAAAGGCCCAAAAGUUAUUCUUUGAUAGACUUGCAGUGACUUGAAUUAAGCUCCUUAAUAGAAUGUGCACAACUUUGAUAAAUUUCUUUUGGACAAUAGCUUGGAAACAUUUUGCACGAUAUUAAAGUUUCGAAAUUGAGUGGGAGGAUUUAUUCAUAGGGAUAACACUAGACAGAUCAAGAUCAAGUAGCACUGCCCCUUAACUUAAAAUUGCGGUGCUUACCUUAAAGCACGAAGCAAAGUGCCGAUAUAUGCGUGCAUGUAUUCCACCCUUGCCGUGUCAUUAAGUGUUCCAUUACGAACCGUCCGUUGACCUUGCAAAAGGAGUCAUGAAAAGAAAUUCUCAUAAUUUUCCUGUUGGCAUCCAAAAAUAAAAUAAAAAAUACACCGCACAGCAGAAGCUAUUUCAACACGAAUAAAUAUGUGGAAAGAGGAGGAAAAUAAACACACAUUAAAUAUUUAAUAAAUUUAUUAAUUCAAAACUCAACAAUAACAAUAUCAAAUCAUAGUUUUUUUUGCUUAUGACAACUCACAACUCUUCAACUUAGAAGCUUUCUCUCUAUCUCACAACUUGAGUCAACUCAACUUUUCAAGUAACAAUGUACUAAACUAAUAGUAUUUAUAGAUUGUAGAACUUAAUAAACAAAAACAAUUCCAAAUAGAGACUUACUUGGAACUGAUUUGAGAUUUCAUAACCUAAUAUGAAAACUAAACAAACAGAACACCAAAACAAGAAACUAAACUAAUUAGGAAAUAAACAAAUAGAAUAGUUUAGUUUACUUCCAUGAUUUUCCAACAUCUGAUUUUCUAAUAUCAGAGCAAAGAAGUAAAGAGAAAGAGACAUUAGCUAGGUAGGUGUAAACAUCUACCAAAAAAACAUUUGAGUGUACAUACUUUUAGGUACUGAAAUUUACAGAGUAAACAUGCUGCAUAGAUAUUUCCAUAUGUCGAACAAAUCCACUGGGUAAAAAGAAAUUCUAAAGCAAUAGGCAUAAAUAGGCUUGCACAUAUCUUGGUUAAGCAAUCAUCCUUUUUUUGUUCUUUGGUCCAAUAACAAUUCACCAAAUAACUCUUAUCUGAGGCAAGCACUUGAAGGAAUCAGAACAAGCUCUUUGUAGAGAUUAAUCAUACACGCAGCAAACUAACAGGACAAAUGGGCUGCAGAGCAACAGAUGUCUUUAUAUCCAUGUACAGAGAGAGAGAGAGAGAACCAUUUUCAUGGACGUAAGUAGGUGGGUUUGCAUAAACUCUCUUGAUGUAUUCCAGAACCUCAUAAAGACCAGAUGAUGUCUCAUUAUCCUGUGGCAAAAAAGAUGGUUAACAAACAAGAGUGGAAUAAUAAAAAAAGAUAUGAAACUAAUUAUUAAGCCCAACCUGAUCUAGUGAUGAAUCACCCCGCUCAUCUACAAUACCCAAAAAAUAGAUGAUAGCAAUUAGUUGUAUUCAAUCAUAAAUAUCUGUAGCAUCAUAAAAAGUCAAUAGAGCAAAGACAUAGAUUUUUAAAAAGAGAACACUAAGACUAAAUCAUCCAAGAAUAGAAUAAGAUAAACAGAGGACAGAACAAGGGUGUGGCGGAAGGAUGGGAGUAGUUGAGCCACUUGGCAAAGUCAGAUUCAAUGAGUCAAAAGUCAAGCUCACAGCGAACGCAAGAUGCGUACACAUGAUGGUUGCGGCAAUAUCAGUGUUGACAUCCCUGAUCUCCAUUUUAUGGCUACUAGGGUCGUCCUUGAUGUAGAAUGUUGCAUAAUGGUUUAGCCCUAUAAAAUCAAAAGAGCCCUUAACUAACUCAAAAUCAUGUCGAGUGAGGGCUGGAAUCCUUGUUCCAGCAUUCUUCUUCAUUAUGUCAGGAUAGUCUCCAAACACCAAUGGAUGGAGAAACCUGCAAAGGGAAUUGUAAUGACCACCAUUUUAAGCAGCAAAGUAGCGAAAAACAGCUUUGAACUUCCUAGAGAUGAAGAAAUAUGUAUUAAGGGCUCUCUGCCAAGCAAUCAUAACUGACCAACCGAUGUAAAAAUCAAUGGCUCUUUGAGCUGCUUUGAUAUCUUCUGUAGCCUUAGUAUAUGGAAAGAACCACGGAGCAUAGAUGUUUAGUCCUACAAAGCCAUGUUGACUCCCCUGCACAAGGACAUAUCUUUUUCGUUAUUUGAGUCGAUGCUCGUGGCAUUGUCAUGUUGAGUAUGAGAAAUUAACACCACUAAUUUAGAAUCAUUCUUCCAUCAAUGACUACAAAUCAAUCAGCGUGUCACCGAUGUAUAUGUAGAGAUGGAAUAUAAUUCAUCUGUAAAUUCUCCUAAAACCAGUAUGAUGAGAAUUAAGUUCCUAUCACUAUAGUAAAACUAUCAACACAGAGAAAACCAAGUCAUGUGAAAAAAUUAUAAAUAUGUAAUCAUACUGAUACCUUAUAUUUUCUGUUGUACAGUUUCACAGCAGAUGAAUGUGCCAACAACAUGUUAUGAGCAGCAAUGUACGGCUCAGUUGAGGAGUUACCCUUGGUACAAGCCAAUCCAAAUGGCAGAGAGCAGCGCCCAGGGGGAAUGAGUGCGUUAUCAUAACCACCAAUUGCAAAUGCAUUGGCCUCAUUUACUGUAGUCCAAUGCCGAACCCUGUCACCAAAUUCCUUGAAGCACACAUCGGCAUACACUGUAAAGUCUCUUCUGCAAUCAUAAAACGAGUAAUUGCUUAGGUUUAAUCACUUGAAAUCUGAGAUCAUUAACAAUCCAAACACUAUAAAAAAGUCUCCAUCACUUGCUUACAACAACAACAAAUAUCACUUGCUUACACCAUAGUCCGACUAAGCCAUCCCCCAUAUCCAUCUUCAAGAGCUUGCGGAGUAUCCAUGUGGUACAUAGUGACAUGCGGCUGAAUUCCUGCAUUUAUGUUUUAGAAGCAGAGAUAUUUAACAUAAACACAUUACAAUGACAUGAAAGUACGAUAGACUGCAAUAACAUUUUGGAAGUGUAUGAGUUGCCUCAAUAUCAUGUCUUCAAGCAAGAUUUCCCACAAAGGCAGAUUGCCUACCAAGUAAUCAAUUAAAAAAAGAAUACCUUACCAUGCAUGAUGAGUUCAUCUAUGAGAUUGUUGUAAUAUUCUAAUCCCUUGGGGUUGACAGGGCCUCUUCCAUCUAAAAGAGACAAAUACUGAAUAUGAGAAGCAAGAAAUAGAAUGCAAGAGUGUUAGUAGCCUAAUGAAAGUGAACGCACUAGGAAUAAGUCUUGACCACGAAAUAGAGAAUCUGUAGGCCUCCAAACUUGUGUCAACCAUGCACUGGACAUCUUCCUGAAACAGAUAGAUUUCCUAAAGUAAACAAUGUCCUAACCUUAACAAGAUAAUGCUUGAAUUUAUUAGUUGCUAUCCAAAAAUCUUAUUCUAGUUAGAAAAAAGAUAAAAUAGCAGGCUGUAGAAAAUCUGGUAUCACUAUCUACCUAUGUUUUAUCUCCCAAAGAGGGAAUACAGUUUUAGAUCUCCAAUUGAUGAGGAUAUGAGCAUGCGUAUGAAAAUGAGUAACUCAAGCGGGUUUGAGCGAGUUAUAAUUGGGUCAAUUCAUUUACACCCAUUUAAUAAAUGAGUCAAAAUAAGUCAACCCUUUUGGUCCCGUUUAAUAAAUGGAUAUGGGUAUACCUAAUUAUCUCUUUAUAAACCACUUGAAAUUUAUUUUUUAUUUUUUUCCAUGUUAUUUGACAAGAAAUAAUGAUAUUUUAUUGUGAUUAGAUUAGUAAGAAAUUAAAAUUUAUCCCCUUCAUAAUUUGAAUGUGUAAUUAUUUUUAAAUGGGUAUAAAUUGGUGAGUUGAAUCAACUCACUACCGACCAAUUAAAUGGGUCCAAUUGAGUCAUCCAUUUAAGCCCGUCCAAAGUGUAUUGCAUACCCAAGUCCACUUAUUAAUCGGUGGGUUUGGGCGAGUCAAUACAAACGGGUUGCUUGUGAUUGACACCUUUGGAUUUGAGACAACAUUCUUUCAUCUGCCUAAGAUACUAUUGAAGAUGGAAUACAAGUUCAGCCCACCAGUAAUAUCAUAAAGGUGAGUACAUUUAUAGAGUCCUAUAUUCUUUCUAUUUUUAUCACUCAGUGGAGAGGCUUAGUUAGUGUAUCUAGAAGCCCUUGGAAGAUGACCCUCAUAGUUUCCACCAGCUAUGUAUUAUCUAGUUUGAGGCAAAGAUAAAUUCAUCUGCCAAAGGGUUUGUCACUAGAGUUUCAAUGAAGUGUAGUUGAAUUAAUGUUUUCCUAAUGAUGGUGUCUGAUUUAUGCAACUUCACCGCAAGUCAGUUGGUCAAGCAACCAACAUUACAAUUGAGUUCAGCUUGCUUGCAUCAGGACGACAACAUUACAAGUUAAAGUACCUUAUGACUGAUGAGCAACCAACCACCCCCAAAGUAGUUGGCCACCACGUCUUGUGGGGUGGGAGGUCAAGGGUUUAAACCUUGUCUCUCAUCAAAGUUGGCACUUAAUGUGGCUUCUCUUAAAUCUAUAUGGGUGCUUAGUGCCAUCGUAUGGUCCGAUGGUGGUUCAGUUCCCAUCAAUUCUGAUAGGACCUAUAGGUUAGAGUACGACUAGGAGUAGGUGUAGAUAGUGAUAAUAGACAAAAACUAGGAAUCAAUUACAUUGCAAAGCUUCCUUAAUUUUUACUACUAGAAAGAUCAAUUACAUAGAAUUAUCAACUUAUUGAUGGAAAGAAUUAACUGACAGGUCUAAAUAUACGUAAUCCUUUCCUAAAUCACACAAUGAAGGAAGCAUGAGGUGUGUUUGUGGUCACAUGAGUGAUGAGACGGGAAGCAAACGUCUACCUUGUACUUGUGAUACUGAUCACAUGCUAUGUCUCCAGUAGCUCCACCAUAAAAAUCUGAAAUGGGAGCAGAUUUUGAGAACAUCCUUUGUAGAUUAAGAGAUAAAUGCAAAAGAAAAGGAAAACAAAACGAGAGAGAAUGAAUAAAACCACAAUCCUUCCGUCAAAAUCAUAAAAUGGAGUAAAGCUAUUCAAAAAAAGCUUAGUAAUAAUACACUAUUCCACUGUCAAUUUGAUCAUAUUUUGAGUCGUCUAGUGCAAUCUAUUUUGAGUGGUAGAUGUAAGGGCUUUGAAAGUGAUACAGCACGCCAAGACUCAAUUGAGAAGCAAUGGUGAUACAAGAGCAGGACCGGACCAUAAUAGAACAAAAUAAGAAAUUAAGACAAAAAGACGAACCAGAAUGGGCACGAACAAAGGUAUCCCAAAUACUGGGCAUCUUCCCAUCUUCGAAAGCGGCACCUUCUACCUAUCAAUUGAUAAUUAUGUUCAUCAAAUUUUCCUCGCGAUUUAUAUAUACAUAUAUAUAUAUAUAUAUAUAUAUAUGUAUGUAUGUAUGUGUGUAUGUAUGUAUGUGUGCGUGCGCGCGCGCGCGCGUGUGCUGGGCAAGGUAGUACUAGUACCCAACGUCUUUAAAGAAAAAGGAAAGCAGCAGUCGUCAGUGAAACGAAAAAGGCUCAGGAAGCAAGGAAGACGCAAAGAUCGAAACAGAACUAACUUGGUAUGCGGAAGUGGCCGCGCCGAAAGCAAAGUCGGCCGGGAAGUCUGCUCUUGUAUAAUUCUCCACGCUGCCCACCAAUACCAUUCUCGCCAUCAUUUGCGACAUCGUUAGCGCCAAAAACACCACAUCCACAUACAUCGCCAUACUCAAACUCCUCAGUUUCGACAUCGUCUACUAGUCGAGCAGAGUCUACUUUUUCAUGCACCAGAUCCUCCCUGUCCCAGCCGGCUGCAAUCUAAUACUGCCACUCACUACCAGUGCAGUACUAGUGUACUACUACUUUGUGCUCCUCUUUGCUCAGCUUAAACCGUAAACUUUGACCGUAUUUGAUCGAUUCCAACUUGAGGCCCCCACACCAACGGACAGAUGGAGGGAAGUAAGAGGAAUGCUUGCUUAUUUACGGGAAAGAGAUCGUCGACUCAAACAGCACAUUGAACCGUGAAGGAGGACUAUUUCACCCCUUUAAUCAUUCACAUUGUACCAGUUAACUUCUGAUACUCCAAUUAAAUAGCCGAUAGACAGAACAAAUGGUUGAACCAAUCACACAUCACACUGACAGGAUCUCAAAAGUCAAAACCGAAAGAGAAAUACCGUAGACUUUUUUUCGUUGUAAAAGUGUGUUGUGCCUAAUUUGAAUUUUAGUCAUUUUAUUUUACGAUAAGAAUGUAGCACAAAUUAAGUUGGAUAUUUUUUUUUUUUUUUUUGCCAGUAACGAUACAUUUGUAUAACUUAUUCUAUCCUAAUCUAGGGGAGGGGGAGCCUAAGGAGGCUAUGAUAGGGGUUAGUGGGUAUACAGAUCCAACUAGACCAAGGAAGUGCUAUGACACAACCCUUAGAUUUUUUUCGCUGCUGGUUAGGUUUGAACCCAAGGAGGGACUUAAGCUCCUCUCUGAUGGCCAGUGAGCCAUUGGCCCAGUGGUAAAUUAAGUUGGAUAUUCAGGGUCCAUUUGGCACGAUGUAAAAUGUUUUGAACGACAAUUUGUUAGCAGCAAACGUGGUAAAAGGGUCAAGUUGAAUAUGGUGAUCACUGGUGACAAGGGCAAAUGACUAGAAGAGUUCUCAACUUUGGUUCUUACUAUUUAUUUAUUUAUAAGUGAUCGGAAUUCGAAUCUUUUACUUGCAAUUCCUCUUCUUUUACUAUCCAAUCCAACUCUUCCCUAAUAGAUUUGGUUCUUAGAAAUUUAUUUUGUGCCGUUAUAAGCUUCAAAUUUUUACGUUGCAAUAAUUUAGUCCCUCACAUUUGACCGAUCAAUAAAGAGCAAAAAUGGAUAUGAACAUCAUAGUGUGGAUAAUUACAUAACAUUCACCAAACAAAUUGAUUUAAUCCCUUCUUUAUCCACCACCAAAACCAUACCAUCGUUAUACAAAAUGUUAAAGAGUUUUUCAUUUGUGAAUGACGAAAAAUCACAUUAAUAUGCGAGUGUGAAAGACAUAAAAUGUAUAAAAUCAAUAUGUGAGGAACGAUUAAUCAUCAUUUCACAUGUAAAAGAUAAUAAAAUAUAUAAAACCACUAUGCGAGGAUGAAAAAUCGUCCUUUCAUAUGUGAUAGAUGUAAACGGUACAAAACCAAUAUGUGAAGUACUAAUUUUAUAAUUUUUUCAAAUAAGAAUUAGAUCCAAAAAUUUUGUCAUAUGACACAUGUGAGAUAAAAAAGCUUAAUUGAAAAAUAAAAUUAAUGAAAAGCAUGUUUAUGAUGUAACUACAGAUUUUUUUGUUAAAAAGAAAAAACUAUCCAAACCAAAACUUUUUUUCCCAAAUAACCAAAACUUUUUUUCCAAAUAAAAAGUUUGAUGACUAAAUUGCUGAUGAAGCCCAUUUGCUAGGAGGGGCUUCCUAUAUUCUUUUGCCGUCUUGUCUAAAGUAAGAACACGAACAAAAAAUUCUCAUCAUUUUUAGGCCUAUCAGCCAUAACACAAAGCGCCCAGAACAGUUACUCGGGGCGACAAGGACAAAACUUUUAGGUCCAUCUCUUCAUAGCCUCCAGUAACAUUUAGGUAAAACAAACACACUUGACAUGGAUUUGGUUUUUUGGAGGAAGAUGAAUAGUUGAAUUUGCGCCAUUCUAUCCAGCAACAACAAAAUCGAACUAAAACUAGUUUGGAUAGUGUAUUAUUUGGAAUAUUAUUUGGAAUAAUUACUGUAGCACUUUUUGUGAUGUGAUGUAUGUGAGAUAAAAAGGUGGUUGGAAAUAUAAAAAGGUGGGUUGGAAAAUGUGUCUAUGAUGCAAGCGAAAUAUUAUUUGGGAUAAUUGAGGUAUCCAAACAAACCCACUGGGGAUUUUAUGGACUUGGGGAUUUUAUGGACACUAAACAAAUACAGGCAGAAACAUCAAAUAGAUUUCUUCUACAAAUCAGGACCGGGACUAUCUCAACGAACGCACGUAUCCCAAAAUAAUUGUCCUUCACUGUUUGACUCAUGUCUAACAUAAAAUUAGUUAAACUAGAAAAGUCCCCUUGAAUGGACAGGGCAGGUAUACUUUUUUUUAUUAUUUUUUUUAUCAGACAGCCACAGUUAAUCUACCCUAUUCCUAUUUUAGCGUACACUGCAUGGGGCUCAACAGAACUUAAAAAAAUCGAUGAGAACUGAAUUAACAUCGAGUCAGACGAGUGCACUAUGCGUGCACUCAUAUGAAUUUAUAAGAAACCACGUAUACUACUCAGCCGUAUAAGUUUAGAAGAAAUAAUGACACAUACAGGCAAGUAUGCUUGAUUGUCUAACUUACUGAUGUGCCCUUUUUUUUCCCAAAGGAUGGGAUCACCCUUAUCAGUGCGCACACACUCACGUUUAAUGCACUCCUAUAUUUAGACGUUUUCUUAAAUUAGUUUCACUUUUGCUACAAAUUAACACCUAAAACAUCUCUUACCAAAACACCUCCCUCCGACCCCCCCCCCCUCCCAAAAAAAAAACACAAAGAAAAAACCCAUCCCCAAACAAAUACAACUUUUUUUUGGGUGAUUACCCCCCCCCCCAACAGAAUAGAGCUCUCUUUCCUUCACAUUUUCAAGGGGGUUCACUUGUAAUUUGUAAAGUGGCUGAUUCUAAAGUAGGUCGAGCACAAUGUAAUUCACUCCAAGCAACAGCCUCUACCACCAAGAAAUUUAAAUCUCGAUAGGAUGGGAGAUCAGGGUUCAAUCCUUGCUUCCGACCUUGCCACUUAAUUGUGGCUUCCUCUAACAAGAUUUUCCCAUUGGCUUCCCCUCAUCUUAGAUUAUGCUAAAAUAGAUUAUACAAAUAUUAUUAUUGCGACAAAAAAAAAAGCAAUGUAAUUCACUCCAUCCAAAAAAUAAUAACAAAAAUCAGCGGGGAAAGCAAACACGAAACUGAACCCGUUGCUCCUAAUGAAGCAUGCAAACAAUCUCAAAUACCAAAAUAUGCACCUACAUUACCAUGUGAUUUCUCCUAUCAUAAUACCAUCAAGUUUACCUGUAUUACCAUGUGAUUCUCCUCUUCUAUUCAAAAGCAUAGCUAACCCCUCAGGAGUGACCACAUGAAGGUUCCAAUAUGCAAUCCAAUCAAUACUCUCAGCACUAUCGAGGGGACUAUCAGGUCAAGAAAGGACUAGAAAUUUGUGCAUCAAAGGAGAAACAAAGGAACAAGGUGAUGAAUCGUUUUUCCUAACAUCACCACAGCUCAAGAGUUACCAACAACGUGGUAAGGAGGGAGAAAAUUCUCCUAGUAACAUCACACUUCUUAAGCUUGAGUAGAAGGAAAAUCUAUAGAUCGUUUAGACACUUAACAGAUUUCAGCCAACAAGGAAAUAAAAGAUCAUAUAAAGUAACAUCAACAACAAAAUAGAAGAUGUGGUAGCAAGAUGACACCAUGCUUUGGAAUCAAACUAUUCUAUAAUACAACAAACACUAGAACGCAACUUCUAGUGUCGAAGGCUGAAGACUCAGAAACUAGAGGUCCUGACAGCUUCUUGAAUCUAAUCCUUUCCCUACUUGAGUAAAAAAAAAAAAAGUAAUCAAAGCAAUAAAUUCAAGCCUUCCCAAGAGAAUAAUUCCAUUACCAAUCAAGGCGUACUGAAUUUCAAGUAUAAAGUGGCCAAUCAGUCCACGCCCCAGAAACAUGACCAUUCUCACACACAUAAGCUCGAACAACUGGCUCGCCGUCGUCGUGAUAGCCAAAAUACCUCCGCAAACAAAACGCAGAAUGCAGAUCCCACGUCUGUUUACAAGAGCAGAAAGCGCAAUGCAGCUCAAUCUUGCUCCUGUGGCCAUCAUUUAUCGUCCUCCAAACCCUUGACUGCUUGAAGUUCUUGAAAAUCCCUCGAAAAAGCAUAUAGUUACGCUUCUCUUCGAUGUGGACACAACCGGGCCAAUCACAAAUAUACAAGCAAUCCCCUUUGAAUCGACUUGCAAGCAAUUUAUUCCCCUGCUCGCGGCUCAAGUUCCAGACCCCCUGAGCCAAAUGAGACAUAAGAGAUCUACAGAUUUUCCUCCUCUUACGACCACGAAAGUCACACGAAGGUUUCACCACCCCUCUCUCGGGCUCCACAGGCAGUUCGGGCCGUUCUUCGGAGGAUUCAGAAGCAUCAUAAACAGUAUCAAACAGAAGAUCAUCAAACAAAGACCAAGAACAAUCCGGCCCAGAAGCAGUUACAUCGGAAUUAACAUCCCUGUUGCUCGAGCAGGGAGCAGCUGAUCGGAAGAUCGCAGAGACCUGGUAAUUCUCGUCUGGCCCAAGCUCACGUUCGAGCCCGAAAUCAGAAUUUUCCAAGAGGACGCCAGCUUGGAGGAGACCCGGGCAGCAGACUGCUAGCUUGUAAAGAGAAGCCCAGCCGCCAGGAGGGACGGCGGAGGGGGAAGCAGAGGUGGACAGAAGAUCGUUGACAACGGAGGGGAUGGUCUGAGAGCACUUAGAUUUACAGCACACGUUUCGGAUCAGAGACGAGAAUUUAGUGGAGACGCAGGCGAGGCGGGCCCAGUUCCGAGGAUCGUCUUCAAGUUUGAAGAAUAUGUUGAGAACAACGUCAUCUGAGAGCCUCGAGAAGCCGCUUUCAGACAUGGUGUACGGUUCACCAACAAAUGGAUAACAGUAGCUCAGCCGGGGUUCUCCGAUUCCGAUUCUGGGAGAAAAGAAAAUCAGGCAGGAGUUGGAUAUGGAAUUGGGAAGAGGCGAAAGGGUGUCUUCUAGUGUUUAUGAAGAGGUUCCAAUGCGAUGGACUGCUGAGCCAACAGACGAGAUUACGUAUCCCAUGUGUGGACACCAGAAGAGAGAGAGAGAUAGGACGGAUUGUUGGUCUUUUUACCCUCUUUUAUCUUUAUAUUGGAUGGGGGUGGCGGAGAGAGAUGGGCAGAAGCCGAGGGAAAGAGAGGUGGUGGUGGUGGUGGCGGUGGUGGUGGGCGAAUUUAAUGAGUGAGUGGUUGAAACGUGAAAGGAGACGGGAGGCAGUCUCUGGAUUCAAAGACCCUUCACUGACUUCAGUGGAUAAAGCCAAGAAGGAAGCAGGCGCCGGCGGUGCACAAAUUGUGCUGAGUCCCCAGCAUACAUUACCUCGUAUCCUAUCCUAAUAAAUACUAACUAGUGUAAAUACCUGUGCUAUGCACGUUGCUGACAUUAUUGAAAAAAUGAAAAUAAAAUGGUGAAUUAAAAAAGGUUAAAAAAUUAUACCAACAUAAUUAAAAUAUAAUAUCUGUCUAACAAUAGUUUGAAAUAUGAUAGAACGUGUAUAUUAUUCAAAAAUUACCUUUUUUCGGAAGAUAGAUCCUGAAAAAAUAAUAGAAAUUUAUAUUAGAAAAUGAAUGAUAUAUGAAUAAAAAUGCAUGUAAUUAAAUAUUGUUAAAAUGAAAUACUUACAAAUAUUAUGCAUUCGAUUUGAUAAUCUUGCAUGAAGGUGUGAACACUCUUUACACUAAUCAACUUUUAAUACGAAAGCCAAAAUUGGUGAUUUAAUUAAUUCUGUUGAAUUUUGUGGAAUGCGUACUACAAAUGAAAAUGCACGAUCUUUGCAUGAAUUGAUUCGUUGGUUGAACAACCUAUCACCAUUGUCCUGAGAAUUAAGUACGUGCGAAAUUUAAAAUUAGUGUAUUUUUUUCCAUAGUUUAUAAAUAGCGUUAUAAAAAAUAAACAUAUAUUAAGAAAUUUUAUCUUCCUUUGUAAUUCUCUAAGAUAAGAAGCAUCACAACCAAAUACGAAUCGUGCAUGUCUGUCCUGUAGAUUAAGAUGCAUGUUACUAUUGGAAUCUUUGAUUUGUAUGUUAACAUUGUACCUGUUUGACAAAUAAAAUGUUAUAUACAAUACAGAAAAAUUUGUUGAAAUUAAAGGUACAUAAAAUUAAUUAUCUAACAACAGUGUCUACCACGUCAUUACAAUGCAUACACACUGUUUUUGAAAAAUGACAUUCACGUAGUUAUCCACAAUUUUUGCAUAAUUCAUAGAACAUAUUUUCUAUGUUAAUACUUUGAAUGUAAGCAAGUAUUCGAAAAUAUUUAACAUAGUAAGAAUGAAAAAAGGUAUAGGUUAUGAUUAUAAAUUUAAAAAAUUUGUGCAAUAAUUAAAUUAAAUAGAGUAAGUUUACUGUAUGCAUGAUUGUAUAUUUGGAUAUCCAUACUCUCUUUGAAUUUGCUAUCAACAAUGCUUGUGAUGUUAUAAAAUUACUUGACUUCAACCACAUAACUAACUUUCGAGCACAUGUAUUAUUUUCAAACCUACAAUUUUUUGAAAUACAUAUUGAUAAGAGUAUGAAACAACAUUAAAAGUUUAAUGUAGUGUUACUGAUGGAACUCACCAACUGCACAGGUAUCGAGCAAAAUCUAAAUUGUGAUUGAUAUACAAUUUGUUAGCUCCAAUUGUACAAAGUGAUGGUUCUGUAUAGUAUGGUUAUAGUCACUAAAAAACUAUUCAAAUUAUAAAGAGUAUAAGUAAAAGCAUUUGAUUUACCUCUGAAAUUUCGUACGCAAAUACCACAUGCUAGUAAAAUAUUAUUUUUUGUAGCAGAUUGAUAUUAUAGGAUUUGUAGUAUAUUCAAUAACUUGAUACUCAAAUCACCGAUGAAGCAAAAUUUGCCUAAAUAAGCUUUACAAUGUCCUAACUCCUUGGAAAAAAAAAGUGCUAAAUAGUCCUAAUUGACAUCGCAAGUUACCACAACGUGCCAGUGGCAUCUAGGCCUAAUUUUUUUUUUUUUUGUCAAAAUCUAGUCCUAAUUGGUUUUACUGUUUCUUGAUCAUGUUGUAUGCUUCCGAAUUAAAAUUGUAUUAAAAUAGCAUGUGAAUGAGCAUUUAUCUUUAAUUAAGGAGUAAAAAGGAUUUAAAGUAUAAAUAACAAACUAUACACGGUUUAUAAAGUAGACUAUGGGAAAGUUUUAAAUUUUAAAUUUAACUGGUGAUAGGGUUGGUUAUAACCCACUACUUUUUAUGUAUUAAAAUAAAUACAAAAAUAUAGACAAAAAUCUAUAACCCACUACUUGUUCCUUUCUUGGGAUUUUUUUAGGGUUAAAUAUAGUAAACUCCUUAACUUUACAUUUAACUGUACUUUACCCCCUCAACUUUAUAUUUAGUUGCACAUUUGUGAUUUUUUUGAAACGUAAUUGUAAUUUGCAAAGCUCAUUUGUAGGGUUGGUUAUAGGGUUAGUGUGGUGACAAAUAUUUCUUAAUUAUAAAAAUAUAACAUUGUAUUAAAAUAGCAUACGAAUGAGCAUUUGUCUUUAAUUAAGGAGUAAAAAUGAUUUAAAGUAUAAAUAACAAACUAUAAACGAUUUAUGAAGUAGAUAGUGGGGAUGUUUUAAAUUUUAAAUUUGAUUAGUAAUAGGAUUGGUUAUAACCCACUACUUUUUAUGUAUUAAAAUAAAUACAAAAAUUUAAAAAAAAGAAUGAGAAGUUUGGAAGUCAUUGAGAGGGUGUUUGCUAAAAACCCAUUCUGCAAUACAUAUAGAUAUAGAUUGCGAUCUCAACUGUCAAGUGCGAACUCUGCUGUUUCUUUCCUUCGCCACAUACAUACGUAUAAGGCCAUAGUGGAACACAAACAAUGGGCUGGGCUUUUUAUUAUUAUAACUACACUAUUUUAGCAAGUGGCAAAUUGAAGCAGUUGCUGUCCAAAUUGCUUCUUUUUUCUUUUUUUUUUGGCUUUGAAUGAUAACCACGUUUAAAAAUAUUUACUGCCAAAUAACGGCCGUUCUAGCCGGUAAUGCCGACAAAUUUGGUUAGUUCAACUCCUGGAGAAUGCGUCAACAUUCUUCCUCCAUAUCUCUAACAGAAAAACUUGCUAAUAUAAUUAAAGUAUAUCAUUCUCUGAACACAUCUUUUAAAUAACUUUACAUACGUUGCAACAUAAAAAGUAAUGCAGUAAAUAACAAUUCUAUAACUCAUCCUUUUCUUUGAUUCAUUAAUGAUACAGUGUGUAGACUGCACAUCUGGUAGCUCGAGAAGAUAACCAAUCAUUUCAUGCCACUUGCAAAAAGACAACCCUGCCUGAAGCGGGCGGCUUUCCUUAUCUGGAUGGUGCGGCCCAAUCUGCGUUAACGCAGGACGUUUCCUCUCCAUUGAAGAAGGGAAUUGUCGAUGCUCAAACUAACAUCCGCCACACAUUUUGAGGAGGACGCCAAUUCCUAGGUUGCUUUGGGCAUUCCUUGUCGCUGUGGCACAUGCACAUUCUGCGCUGUUGACAAGAAGACCUUUCACUGUGCAGAUGAUAUUCUGAUCAAAUAAAAAGUUCAAACAAAAUUUGCCCAUCCUAUAGGCAAAUCAACGUGACUACUGAUUACCUUGAAUACUUCCCAGCAGGCACCCAGUGACAGGAAAAAAAAAAAAUACUAUACCAACACUAACAUAUUUUGACAUCCUACAUCUAGCCUAUUAAAAGGAACGACCCAUUGCUUUGCUGCAAAUCAACAAAUGACCUGCACGUACGAGGAGUACCAGUAACGGUGGCUGGCUGCGUGCAUAGGCUAUGGAGGGAGUCAAAUUGACUAACCAAACUAGAAGAUUGGUUAUUCUAGGUUGGUGCUACUGCUAAAGAAUAAUAAUCUCGUGUAAUCAGAAUUAUCUGGCCCAAUAUAGACAGCAAUUAAAGGAACCACUCGGAGAAUCUGUAGCGCCACAAGGAAAUGUUAUAGUUAAUCGAGGACCAAGCCAUCUGCAGGCCCUCCACGAAAUAUUAAUUCAUGAUUACAUCUGGACAAAAUGCCAAAUUCAACAUUCCACCAUUCUCGCGAUCAAAUGUCCCGCAACAUGCCCAUACAAGAAAACACAAAAUAAAAUGGUUCCUCAUACAUCAAUAACUCUGUUAACCACGAUUGACAACCAACUGCAGAUCCUAAUACGCAUCUAAUCC
rnacentral:lncRNA from 1 species